AAAUUGGGUCUUUAUGAAAAUUGAAGUUCCGGACUGAAAGACUUGAAGGCGUUGGGGGUUUUCACAGUGAGUUUGUGAAACCUUCCUGUUUCGGCACAAAUUACCGGGUUUGGGCCGGAAAUACCUCCCGCGACCUGCUUGCCCUGCGAGAAGUUGGUCUGCCCCGCUCUCUUCCCCGUCGCCCCCUCUUCUCUCGCCCUCUCAGAAGCCUCAUGCUGUUGCUGGCAUGUUUACAUCUUACUCUCUUCGGUCUUCUCCAUCAUAAUUUCUUGCCGGGGCUUAUCCCCGGUCGAGCGUUCUGUACUUCUCCGCUCUCUGAGGCUUAGUAUCAUCCUCGAAGGUGUCAUCGCCACUCAUUCGUUCUGCAUGGGAACCUCGGUGACGUUAAGCUGGAGUUAUUUCUGACGUACGCUCGGUACCCGCUCAUAACUGUGGCGCGUCUCGAUUUUCAUAGAGAGAUCCCCAGGUUUCACUCUUCAACCAUUUUGUGAAUGCAGUAUUCCUAAAACUGGUUAAUUUUUGCUUUUUGAGAACGACCUUUCGGAAGACGUAAGUAAUUUUCUUAUAGUUCCCAACUGAAUAGCCAAUGCAAUUUCCUGCACAGUUCAUUGUCUGACAUUCUUAAACCUGUGCAUUAUAUCUUAUAAAAAGUGCUGCAUAAAUACCAAAAAGAGAACAGCCUAAGAGGGAUUCAAUAAACGACUCCAGCCAUCUUUGCUCAUAAGCAUUUUCCAUUACAUUGUUUGGAAGUGGAAGAGCCAUCUGACUAAGAUUCACCAUGGUUGCUAUUCUAUUGAUCUUUUGGCAAAAUAGUGCAAAUUUUCUCUCCCAUUUCGUGAAAAAUGGGAGAGAAAGAACUUUAUAUUAAUUAUUCAAAUGACAGAAAAAAACUUAUUUAGGAAGAAUGCACAUGUUUAGCAGACAUGUUGCUACUUCAUGCUAUGUCUUGAAAACCGUUUUUCCUGUUGUUUCUUUGAAACGAAAAUUUUGAUCUCAUCUUCUAUAAAAUGGACUGCUAUGGUCGAAAGACAACCCGUUGAUGAUUCUCAGUCAUGGCUGUGCAGCAGUUUCCAUGAAAGACAUUACUCGGACAUUAAUUUCAAGCAACCGGAUGGACUUUCCUUCCUGGACAUCGCUCAUACGGGAGAUUGAGGAAACAUCCGCUGUAUGCUUCAUUCUUCCUUUGGCGUCAUUGUUAUAAAGUUUCGUACAGACCAUACAUUUCAAAUAUGUUUAAGAAUAGUUACUGAGAAAUCAUAAAUGCAGUGAGAAAAUGAAAGAUGAAGUACUCAACUUAUGUCUCAUUGUUCACAUUUAAAGCUAUUUAACUAAUGUGAUGCAGGAAACCAGUAUAGCACCGGCGAGCUUUACAUUGUUUAGUCAUCUAGGUCUAAUUUUGCGUUAUACCUUUGUCACCUUCUCUGUUUUAUAGACUCUUAGGCUGUAGAAAGCACAUUCAAUACCAAGAAAGCCCUUACAGAGAGAGUCUGACAAAGCAGACCGUCCAUUGAUGACAAUUUACCUUUUCUAAUUGAAACAAGAAACUUACACGGGCUGGAUCCUUGUUGAUAUCUAAUUUUUUGGCAUAUUGGUUAUGCGAUAGCAUUGGCUUUAGAAUAAAAACCAUAGGUGCGCGAAGCCAAGUAUAAGCUCAUGAACAUAUAGCUGUUGAAUUUCUUCACAGUACCUACUUGGGUUCUCACAGAUCUUCAAGGAUAACUUAUUAUACUUGGCAGGAGGAAUCCAGUAUAUGAAGCCUUUGAAUGGGGUUUAAAAACACAAUGGUUCUUGGCUAUGAUUUUAACAUUCAAAAUGUCUCAAGCUUAAAGAACCAAAGAAAAAAUCUCUCAAAUGCAUCAAUGUUCUCUGAAGUCUAUGGGAGUCUUCAAGUCCAAUUAUUUUGACCACUCUUUGUGGAAUCUGUAAGUCUAUUCUGGUUGAGUGAGCUUUGCAGUAAAUAAGGCUUUGCUUAGUUAUAAAAGAUUGCAUAGUACAAUAGGUUCGGUCUAUUUGUUUAUAAUUGUUAAAUUGACGUGAGUACUGCAGAAAAUAUCACUCUCUGGGCUCGACAGUGGAUGUGAAUCACUGUUAGCAGGUUCCCUAAUUGGUUUUGAUUAUUAUUAGCAAUCAGCUUUUUUUGUACUCUGUACUUAGCACGAGCAAUUCAUACUCACUUCUUAUUGAUAAUGUUGGUGAUUAGGUAUGGCGGAAUAUAGAUAGUUAGAUCCACUUUAGACCCUCCGCAGCCUUUUUCUAUGCAGCAUGAUUAAUAAAUAAAGUCUGGUAGGUUUAACGCAUGCAACUUGGAUGGUAUGUAGUGCUUCCAGUGGAAGACUGGUGAGUAAGGUAUAAGAACGUGAGAGAAGAACAAAUCACCGAUCAACUUUUCCUAAGAAGAAUUGGUUUUAGCCCAUGUGUUGACUGGCCAAUGCCCAUAAAACUACAACUUCAAAGCAGUAGGGAAUGCACAGCACUCUGCCUGGUAGUCUGCCUACCAUAGCCUUUAAAUCCCCUGAGGGAGUCCUCAUAAUUUAAGUUUCUCAUAAAUUAUAUUACUUUUCUCUGGCUGUCUUGAUGGGGCCCCCCCUUUUAUCUUGUACACGGGCUAAGACAUAUUCCCCUUAUGAUAUCCCCACAGUGGAAACACUGCUGCUAUUGCAACGGCCCACCCACGGAAGCCAUCAUGUGGUCAGUCUCGCCUGGUUCCUUUUGCUUCUUCCUAUGUCCACCUACUGCUGUCAUUCGUGGUCCAUGGACAGUGCCAUUGGAUCUGAAAGUAACAUGCAAGGAACUGUCAUGCCACACUGACAGCUCCUUUUUGACAUGAAUCGGCUUUUGUGAUCUAUUCAAUGAGAUCAUACGUUGGGCUGUUCAUAUGUGAUGAGAAACUUGUCUGGUCAAGUUGGGAAAAUAGUCAAGUUGAUCUCUUACUUUUUUGAUGGCAAUUAUUACUAUAGGUAUGAAGCUGCAAGUUCACAAAGAUGGUGGACAAUGUAUCCCCUGGAGGUUGUAAAAUACUGUAAAAAUUGUGGAAAAUCAAGGAAUAUUCAGUUUACACAUCGCACUAUUGACUUCGAAAGACAGGAAACAAGUAUAUGAGUUGGAGGUAGUUGGUGUCAAAGUGCUCACUGAGACCUUUGUUAUCUAGGAAGCUGCUUGAUAUGGAUAUCAGUUCAUCAGGACUUGUCCAUAGCGUGUAAUUUCUGCUGAUCAGAUCCAAGUUUUGCACAUCUAUGGUGAAAUCAUUGCUUAGGUGAAAGCCCAGUGAUAAUAAUAAUGAAAUUAAUCAACAUGGAUUAGCUGUGUGCAUUUUAGUAUAUUUUGAUCGAGAGAUAAACACUAUCUUAACUGACAGAGGAAUGACAAAUUAUUCACGUGAAAAGAGGCCAAGCUUGGGAAAGGUAGGGUGAUGUCAUCCAUGUAUUGUUAGUGCAUAAUCACUGUGGCUAGGGAAGUACUGCUGAAGAUAUAUUUGAAGGGUUGAUCUUUUAUUACUUUCUUUUUCACUUGAAAAGCCAACUAGUUUCAGAGCCUGAAAUUAUAAGAAUUAAUCCUUAAAUAUUCUCUGAUGUGAACGCUCAACUCAACUCUCUGCUGAUAUAGAUGCAUACAUUUUUAUGCACAAAAUCUAAAACUCAGACUUGAUGCAAAUUAAGAGCAAUUUCGUGGUGCAACACUGCAUCCUAGGUAUUAAGAAUAUUAGACCUUCAAAGUCAACGGCUUACAACCUGAAAGAUUUUUAUUUGUUGUCUUAUUUUUUGUCAACUCUUUAUUCUUCUAGCAAUUUUUUGAUAAAACUACCUUGCUUUUGAUUUGGAGUUCAAGUGAACUAAUUUUCUUUUUUGUUGCUUACAUUACUGAUGUAUUUUGGAUCGAAUGAUGAUCAUGACACACUCAUAGUCAUAUCAGUUUUAUGUUUUCUAUUACAACUACAGGAUGACAGUGGUGCCACAUCAAGAGUUUAUGAAUCCUUUUUAUCAGAGUAUCCUUUGUGUUAUGGUUAUUGGGAGAAGUACGCAAACCAUAAGGCACGUUUGUGUUCUGUUGACCAAGCGGUUGAAGUUUAUGAAGAAGCUGUGAAAGUAGCUACGUAUUCUGUUAAUCUAUGGGCCAAUUAUUGCAGCUUCGGUAUGCAAUUUUAUGAAGAUCUUGACGAUGUUCGAAGGUAUUAUAUAUCUUAGUAAUCAUGGUUAUGUUUUGAGAAACAUUAAUUGUGAUGCUUAUUUAUUCAAUUGAUGAUGUGAAAACAGAACCUUUCAGUGACAAAUGUUGAAGCAUAUGGAAUAUUGGUGAUAGAAGUCAUCCCAUUAGUGAGUUUAAUAAUUAAGGUGUAUAAGUACGGUUGCUAGUGAAUUGACAAGCACAUGAUGAGCAGUAUCUUUUUUGGAAUACUGUAAUUUCUUUGUUUAUUCUGAUGGUUACAAAAUCACAGUUUAUGCCUACUGGAUUGAGAUCUUGACAGUCGAUUUGCACUUUUCAACACAUUGAAUUAAAAUAGAGAGGAUGAUGCUCCGAGUUGGCAUAGGUGUUUAAAAUACCUAUUAUUCUCAGAAAUAAAAGAACUGUUGAUAACAUAUCUACUGGUCUCAACAAAUCUCAUUAAGAAUUAAAAUCAUAAUACAUAGAAGUAGGAAUUAAUCUAGGUACAAUGAUAAAGUUGGUCAAUGAAUGUGUUGUAAUAUUGACAGUUUACAAGAAAAGAAUUAGGACUGUAGACUUAAAAAUUAAGUUAUUCAGGGCUUAGUAUCGAAUGAACUGGUCAGUAAUCUUCUUGAAGAGUUUUGUGGAAAGGAAAUCUUAACGACAUUAAAAAUGCAGCUAAGAUGGUUGUGCCAUUUAUGCAUCUCUCCAUCCUGAAGUACUGUCAUACCUUGUAAAAGACAAGAAAACGAAAAUUUCAUACGGUUAUAGAUGACAGAGGCCUCUUACUUGAUGUCUAUUUUCAGUUGUUUCAUCGCCAAAUGUCAAAAAUACACUAAUUAUGUAGGAAAAGGGUAGGAUGAUAUAAAAUUUUAAUAACUUAUGAUUGAAAGAGGGUCAGCAAUGUGAGAGGAAAUGAAGAACACUGGACGAUGAUGGGUGAUCAAAAUUUAAAUCACGAAAAAGAUGUGUAAUAAUACCGAGGGUGAGAUUCUUCGUACCUAUUUCAGGUGAAGGUGUUUGGACGGUCCCACCUAAAUUGUGAAAGAAUCUUCUUGAAGGCGGGAAUAUUAGCUGAUGUUGUGCUAUUACGAUGAGAUUGAGAAGUAGCUGCUACUAGUUUGAUUUGGUGAUUCUCCUUGCCACAGUAAAUGAGUACUCUGAAGAGAUACCAUGCUGAAAUACUCUUCUUCGAAGGGGCUCUAUUGACAAACGUAUUCUGUAAUUAAAGAUCAAAUAAAACUAACAAGUAACAUCAUCUUAGCAAAUUCCUUUAAAGAUGUCAUUUAGUUUUCUGAACAGGUCUUUACAUCUGUAUGAAUGCUGUUGUUGAGUUUUUUUUCUACCGUGGCUUAAUUUUCAUGUUUCUUUUGCCAAAUUACCUUUAUGAAUGGAUUCUUUUUCAAGCUGUUGUCCGGAUGUGUCUAGUACCCAUCACGUGUCUUCCUUUAUCACUACAUGUGUGUGUGUCUAGAACCUUCUGAGGGGGCUGAUAUAAAUACCAGACCCCCCUCUCUCUUGUAUGAUUGAUUUUGUUUGAAUAACAGAUGAAAUUUUCCUUUCUUUUUCUGUGCGUGAGUUACCAUACAGCGCACAGAACUUGAUUCAAGAUUCUACAAAAACGAAUAUGUUUAUUGACUAGCCUGUUUAUAUUUUUUCAAGUACUUUUUAUUUUGUCUUUUUUGGUCUAACAGCCAUUUCAGAUCAGUAUAUUCAGCCAAUCAUUAAAUGCGGUUCCCACUGAUCUUGUUAACAUGCAUUUGGUAAAUGAAUGUGAAUCUAUUUAAUUUUUUUCAUGAGAAAAGAGUCAAGGUGGUAAGGUCAUUGUUGGCUAUAUAUAGUUAAAAAUAAUUCUUCUUAUAUAUUAUUCCCUUUUUAGCUGUUGCACUUUUUUAUUCAUCGUUGCUAUCAUCAUUAUCCACAAAAUCACUUUGACCGGGGUUGAGCUUAUGAAUCCUGUUGUGCCAACCUACGCUAUCAUUAUCAUUUUCGAAUUCUAUAGGUACAUUUACUUUUUCGGCCCUUUCUGUGAAAUUAUUGUUAAACCAAGAGAAAAAAGUGGAGAUGUCCAUUCCUUUUGUUAAUUUCGUUGUGUGGGCAGGUUGUAUGAAAGAGGUUUGACAUUUGUUGGAAAAGAUUACCUAUGCAACACUUUAUGGGAUCAGUAUCUUGCAUUUGAGCAUUCUCAUAAACAGUGGAAUCGCCUUGUUGGUGUUUACAUUAAAAGUUUGAGAUUUCCAACUAAAAAAUUGCAUAGUUAUUACCAGAGGUAUGAUUCCUAUGUUUUGACAAUUAUUUCUAGUUUUAAUAAUUAUAUCUUAUAUUUUGAGAAAUGUUUACUAUCUGAUCCGUCAGCUUCAAGAAGCUUGUUACCAGCCUGGAAGAAGAAAUUAAAUAUCAAAAUAUUUGGAUGGAUUUAACAGAAGGUUCAGUAGCCAAUGAGCUGGGAGACUUGAAUACUGUUAAUGAUUCAAGAAUCAGAAGUAUUAUCAGUUUUCUUCUUGAUCAGCCAGCUGCCCUCUAUAGAGGUCAAACGCUUAAGACAAUUUUGACAAUUGGGGAAUAUUUCUAUCGGAGAUCAUCUGACAUUGAUGAAAAGAUUAGUUGCUUCGAAUCUGGGAUUCGAAGGCCUUAUUUUCAUGUAAAGCCCCUUGAUAGCAGUCAGCUGCAGACCUGGCAUCGCUAUCUUGACUUUGUUGAGACACAAGAGGAUUUUGAUUGGGUAUAAUUUCCCUAUUUUUCAUCACUGUUUUAGUUAUUGUUCCCUUUCGGAUGGACAUCGACAAUGUCUAUUUGCUUUUAUUUACAGACUGUGAAACUGUACGAGAGAUGUUUAAUUCCUUGUGCUAAUUACCCUGAGUUCUGGGUUCGCUACAUUGAACUUAUGGAAGCAAGUGGAGCUAGGGAGAUAGCAACUCACGCAAUCGAACGGGCAGUCACAUCUUCUCUCAAGGUAAAAAGUUUAAAAGGACCUAAUGACCCUAUUUCGUUCCCAAUAUAAGUUCACACAUUUUUAUAUAUUUCGUCAAGUUAUGUUCAACCAUUUCUAGUGCGAUGGUUGUGUCCUAAUCCUCAUGAUUUAUUUGUUGAUGGUGAAUUUGUGCUAGGUUACAUAUAACUGAGGAGAUAUAUCAACCAUGAUACUUGACAACACAGUACUUAGAGAUAGAGUGAAAGUAGGUGUAGAAAACAAGUCUUUUUUGAGCAUUACUCUUUGGUUUGGAUACACCUGAAUCUUAAUUUUUUAGUUAUGCAGUGUGUGGGUGCUGUCUUAUGUCAAGGUCUGGAUAGUUGGGAAUUUGUUUCUGAACUUCUGGGUCCUAAUCCUAUCCAAGGUUGGAAUGGAGUGGCCUAUCUGCUGUCUAAGGAAUCAUAAAAGUUUUAAAAAUUCAGAAAAUAUGAAAAUCAUGAGAUUAUUCAAUGUGAUUUUAAAUUACUUCCACUUUAUAUCUAAAAUGAAUAAGUAUACUAUGAAUUAAAAGGAUCAAAUUAGAUGAUAGUAGAUGAGCAAUGUGGUACAGAAAUUAAAUGGUAGAUGUACUAUGUUAGAGCAUGAGUAUAGGUAGAAAUUGUUGGAGAUUGUGAUGCUGGUCCUAUUUGGUUAAACAUUUUGAUCACUAUGAUGCAAGCCAUCAUUUCUUGAUACCUUUCAGAUAUGUUCUGAAAUGUGAUUGAUUUUACCUUGCUUUCCAUAUUUGUUGGUCUUCCUUUUAAUCACUGUAUCCAUACUUGCUAUUGGACUAUGAAUGUGUAGUUCUAGACUUUGAGGUAAUUAAAUGAUCCUCUUUGUCGUUCAAAUGCACAUAGUUUUGUUUUCUUGCUUUAUUUGUUCUUAGCUCACUGUGCUUUCUUGCUUAUUGUAUAUGUGAUCCCACUUGCUUAUGGUGUAGCAUGUACUAAAUCAUCCUUCUUUCGCUAAUAUCACUUUUUUACUAUUACCUAAUAAGGUUCUUUUCUUUUUUUUUUCUGUUUGUCUUCAAGGACAGUAGAGCCACAUGUUUAUUUUUUCUUUAUCAUAAUUGACCCUUCGUGUCAAGCUAAACUCAAGCACAAAUACUGAUAUUGAUCAUUGAGAUUGAUGUACUGAUUGUUUGCUAGUCAGGAGAAACUCAAUUUUCAGGUCUUUCCAUAAGUUUUUUGAAAUAAAAAUUGAAGGUAAGAAAUGUAGGCUAUUGCAGAGCUCCUUACCUAUGUGACCACUGCUAGUCGAUUGUUGUGUUAAUAUAUCAGUCCAUUUAUCAUCUAGUUCGUGUAUGGAUAUCAUUUGAAUGCACUGCCAUGUGAAUGUCGUUUAAUAUCAUCUAUAAAAAAUAUGUUGUAGCAAAGGUCCUUUUUCCGUUCACUAGAUACAAGCGAAGUUGAUCACUUCUCAUAACCUUUAUGAUAUCGAAUUUCACCGAUUUUCUCAAGCAAGGCAUAUCAUAUAUUAAUCUGAACAACUGGUUGGAUAGAGCCCUAAAUGACCUUUCUAUCCUGGAUUCAGCUUACAUCUACAUCAGGAUCAAGUACCUGCACAAAUAGGAGGGAUGGUGUAAAGGUUCAAAAUUUUCCAGUUCACUGAACCGAAGAAUACUCAGGUUAAAUACUUCGAUUCCAUGUGAAAUAUCAAUCUUUGUAAAAAAAUUUGAGAUAUUCUUUGCCAACGAAAUCAGUGAGGACGUCACUAUGAGUCCCUGGAUGCGUCAGAGCUGCUUUUGGGAUCUUCUUCUUAAGCCUGGUUUUUGUACAAUGAACCUCAGAGAUGCAGGGUAUGCCACAGGGUAGAGUGGUUGUGCCUAGUGAAGCAGUUGUGCUGCUUCUGAGCUGUGGAAAUGGAUGGCAUUGUGAUGCAGGGAUGGAAGACAGAAGAGAAGACUCUAUCACUGUAAAUCUAGAUUGAGUUGGUCAGGUUUCUAAUACUCGGAUUAUCUAAACCUUCACCGCCAUGAAGUCUGCUUGCUGUAAAUCUCUUUCUUUAAUCCUAGUUGCCUUGAAUUAGUAGUCUGCUACAUGGUGUAUUAAGGUGGCAGCUGUUAGAAGAAAUAUUGUCGACAGAUGUUGGAAUUGGAAGACAGAAGAGAAGACUAAGUCCCUAUGUAUAAGACACUAAAACAAUGGAGGAGAAACUGAGGUUAUUCACUCAGGGGAAGGAGCUCAUCCAGGAUGGAGUCAUUUACUCAAAUUUUAUGGGUUGAUGAUAAAAUGAGGUUAACCGAUAAAUGUACAUGCUUGCCUGUAGUAUGUAAGGAUGGGUGAAAAUAGUUUUCCAUUUCAAUCAUGCUGCUCACUCUUCUUUCUUUUCAUUAAGGGUAUUGACAAUCUUAAAAUUAGUAUAUCUACUAGAUAGAUUUUAUGAAAUGGCAAUCACAAUGGAUCAACCUCUCAUUUGACUCACUUGCCAUUUUGGUUAUAUAUGCUUCUUCAUGGAAAGCAGAGAGUUCCACAGUUUCGUGAAUAUUGUGCAAAGGUCAAAGAGCGCAUAGGGGAUGCAUCCGGUGCACGUAGUUCUUUGCAGUACAGCGAUACAGAGUUACUGUCCAAUUUUGUUGACAACAUCAAUCAACAAGCAAACAUGGAAAAGCGUCUUGUAAGAAAAUUUCUUGUAUUUAGUUGAAACAUCAUCCAGGUAAAAUUGAGAUGAUCAUUGAUAAGUUCGUUUUUCAGGGAAAUAUUGGAGCAGCUUAUUCAAUCUACGAUAAUGCAAUUCAAAUGCUUAAAGAUAAGGAGGAUCUGCACGUUUUUUGUCUUCUCCAUCUGCACUUUGCCAGAUUUGCUUACUUGGUGGGGACUUUAGUACAGUUUGAGAGAAAUUAUCUUCUCACGUUAUAUACUUGCACACUACUAAAAUGCCUGUGACAUAACCACGUUACAAGACUGAAGAAUGGACUUUAUUCUUGACAUGGAUAGUUAUUUUAUACUGGGGCUCAUAAAACGCCGUAGUACAUUUUUCAUUUUCUUUCUUGAAUAAUUAAAACUGAUUUCUAAGUAUAUUGGUUGUUUCUGUUUACUUUCUACGUGAACAUCAAGCUCGCGUUAAAAUGAGUGCAACUGAACCUAAUGUCUUGAUAAUCUAAAUUUAAUAAUGAUUUCAUUGGACAGCUCAGAAUGUGCCGACUUGCAAUAGGUUUAGGUGUUAAACAACAUCUGUUGUUUAUAUAUAUCAUGUCUAUGGUAUGAUUCGUUUGUGUCGAACAUUGUCUCAAAGGAUUUCGCUGUAUUUCCUCGGUUUGAAGAUGAAUCAAAAGGUGGAAUCAGAUUGCGACUUUGAUAUUCGUUCUUUGGAUGAGGACUUUGGAUGAAUUUUAUGGUAUUUUACUCAAUUCAAGGAGAUUUCUUCUCCAGGUGCAUUGUAUCGUUUGUUCAGGCUUGCCAUACUGAAAAUAAUAAGCAUAUGUUCUCUCCACCUUAUUUACAUUUCGUUGGUAUUUCUGUAGUCUCCUUUUGGCAUGGUCUUUUGAUGGCUUAUUCUUUCAUAAUAAAGUGAAUUUUCCCUGCCUUAAUAGCCUAGGGCCACUCUUGAAUUUUUCUAAGUCCUUCGUGAAAGGGAAACUUUCUAUUUUUUUUGGCGUUUUCCUUAGGGAAACUGUCUGUUUAUUUGAGUCUGUCAGUCAGGUCUCCAAUAACAAAAAGGGAGUCUCGUCUUCAUUGUAAACACUUUUGAAUGAAUGUGGCUUAUGGGCCUAUAUCCUGAAUGAUUAACUGGGAUACUUAUCGGAGACAGUGUGAGGUUAUGCUCUAGUUGAUUCAGUAAUAACAAUUCUACAAUGAAGGAUACUCUUAUUAAGAAUUUUCUUGAGAGAGAACGGUAUUCCAUUUCAUUAGGAUUAUCCGUCAGCUUAAAAAUAUAUUUUCAUUUUACCUUUAGUUCAUGAACGUGUCUGGAAUUGUUCCCAGCUUACUUUAGCACCGCUGAAUAUUUAUAAUAAAAUGAAUUUAAUUGUGUAAACGUUCAGGGAAUGUAAAUACUUUGAAAGAUGAUUCAAUUAAGAGAAAUAAAGAUCCAUUGUCAACAUGGUAUCAGAGAAAUCUGUUGUCAGCAUUGUCAGCAUUGUCAGCAUGGUAUCAAUUCUCUGUGAAUAAGCGUGAUCCCAAUUAAUCGAAAAGAAUGCUUUCAAUAAGAGUAAUCUGUUGUAUUUGGUGCACAAAAUUUAGUUCGAGUUCUCAAUAGGUUUGGAUCAUUAAUUGCUUUGUUCCUGCUUCGGAAUUUCAUGACAAUAAUGUACAAGGAGACAGUUGGCAAUUGGGAAAUAGUUGUCAUACUCAUUAUCCUGAUCAUCUUUGGACUGAAUUCUACUUAUAUGUCUAUUGCUUUUCUGACCUAGAGUUCCACAUAAUUAUUCUGCUUGAUUUGUCCUGGCUAAAAAUAAAACUUAAUAAAAACAGAAAUCAGUUCAAAAUAUUUAUGUUAUCUGAAGUCCAUUCACGUCGUCAAUUACCGUGUACAUUCACGUUGACCAAUUGAAAGUGAUCAAUCUCAAAGCUUCCUGAGGAAAAAAUAUGAUAGUAAAAUUAUAUAUCCACGGAUGAUUCAUUUUUUUGUUACUACCGGUAUGUUCAAUAGAAUUAAUUUUCGAUUUUUCUCAUGCCUAUUAUCUUUCAGGUAACUGGUGAAUUAGGUGCUGCCAGAGAGGUUUUUAUCAAAGGGAUAUCAAGGGCACCUCACUGCAAAUCACUUUUUGAGGUUAUAUCAUUGAUCUCUUUUUGUGUCAAUUAAAUUCGAUUCCUGGCCCCCGUUUCUCUCGUCAACAAACGUUUUUCUCCAAAGGAUUUAACAGUCUGGUAUCAAAAGCAGGGGUGUUAUGAAAUGCAUGCUGUUCAAUAGAAGGCUACUUUAAAGUAUUUUGAAGUGUAUAUAUUUAAUUAAAAAAUUGUAUGUAAAAUCUGCAUUUCGAAUUUUUUUAAUGGUUAUAUUUUUUCAAAAAUCAUAUAUUAAAUUACCGCAGUUAUGCUUUUAAACUUUUAGUUUGAAUUUUCCUUGUUCUCAAAAUAUUAAGUCCCUAAGAAAUUACAUGUGUGUGCUUGUUAAAGAAGGAAUAGCCAUGCUAAUUGCAAGAGGGGCAAGGACGAAGAAGAGGAAGGAAAGGAAGUUAAACGAAAAACGAUCAAAACAUGACAAAACAGCAAAAGGGCACCUUUACGAAUCAUAUUUUUUGCCCUUUUAAGGGCAGUCAGUUCCUAUGUUUCUGUUCUUAUUAUAUGAUUGAUUAUUCUGUUAUGAUCUUUCUCCAGCAUUUAAUUUUUCUCCGAAGUACUUUGACUGGCAACUAGAUUAGGAAAUCUACAGCUUUACGGUUCUUAAAGUCAUAGUUACAUGAAUUUUUGGUGCUCUCUGCUCGUAAUCGGGCCAUCAAGUUCUUUACUAUUUUUUUACUUGUACAGGGAUUAAUUACAUUUAUGUCUAUCCAUGGGGGGACAGGAGAAAUUGGUUAUGUAGAUUCUAUUGUGGAACGUGCCAUAGUUCCAGAAUCAGGUGUGUCACUUGCAUUAAGCCUUACCGACAGAAGGGACGUGUCUAAUUUGUUUUUGCAGGUAUGCCAUCCUAUGCCAUUUGUAUUAUUCUGCCCUUUCUGUUUCAAGGAAAAUAGCCACUUCCCAUAAUACCUCACUAAAAAUGAAUCGUUUGCUGGGGUGGGGCCAUAUAAAGUAAGCAAAGCAGAGCUUUCUUCUUCCAGUUUCCAACGCACCAUGUGACGCUAGGGGUACUUAUAAUGCCAGAUAUCUCUGCAAUAUUUUUCAGUCGAUUUUGGAUUACCUAGUGAAGGUUUGAUUAAAAUCUUUGCGCCGCAGUGUCACUAAACAUGAAUUCUCAGAGGAUGCAGCAGCCAUUAAGACUUUCGUUUAAGAAUUUAGGGUUUUGUGAUUAAGAUUUGGGCUUUUCAAAGUUGAUGCUGGAUUUGCCGUGGAUCUGUCCUAUGAAGUUAAUGAUCCACUGUUAGACAGUUUCUACAGAAUUCAUCUCAAUUGAUAAAGCUGUGCUAGUUGGGCUAGUGAUUCUAUUUCUGUGCAUCUUGGAAUCAUUUUACUUUUUAUGAGGGCGUCAUCUUCUCCAGUACAGAAACUAUAGUGUGAUUUGUGGGUCAGCAAAAUAUUGCACAGCGAAUAACGUUGCACAGUGACCAACCUUAGGCCGGUAUGGGCACGCAGAAAUGGAGGGGCUGUUGAUCUGAUGGCAUGAUAUUAUAGUUACCCGCCUCGGCCUUAAGCUUCAUAAUUGAUGUUGAUGUGUGCCAUAUAUACAUGGGUUUAUUAUUAUUAUUAUUAUUAUUAGUUCACCCUUUAUCACAGGAUCUGAUUCACUGACAUUCAGCCUUGUGGGUAGCGAAUCGCCGUCAUUGUCCAGGUGACUAUGUGUAGAUAUUUUAGUGUAAUUUUCUCAUAGAGAGUUAUUUUCCAAACAGUUUGUGGACCUUUGUGGGACGAUCCACGAGAUCAGAAGGGCCUGGGCUCGACACCUGAAGCUGUUUCCACCUGCACAAGAAGCUGCUCCACUCGGUCGCCGUGCCGACGGUCCUGAGCUUUUGGAGAAGACCAAGGAGCUGACUGGUGCAGGAGACCCCGAUCUUAAGCCUGGGACAGGUCAUGCAGAUAGAGAGGCAUCAACUGAAGAAGAUGAUGCCCGCUCUUCAAAGAGAAAUCUUCUCCUCCUGCAGGAGGGGCCCGCUGCACCGGCCACCAAGUCUCAUCCAGCCGUCGCUGGUGACAGUACAGAGGGGAGCCCAGACCGUUCGCGGCUCCCCAGUGAAGAAGAGGAGCAGGCUAAUCGUUUUCAGGCUAUUCGGCUGCCUGCAGGCGCCGCUGUGCUGCAACAGGAAGCUCAUUCCUUCUCUUCUCUUGGUCCUGCUGCUUGCUCCGUACGCGGCGGAGGGGAGCGAACCCCACCGCUGCCGGGCUGCAAGACUCAGGACGAUCUAAGACCAUCUCUGGAGAGCCUUUCCAUAUGUCUUCCUGAUGAAGGUCAGGAAUCCAGCCCGAGCUCUCCUCGCAGAGGCCAUGGAGCUCCUCAGCCCCCCUGUGGGGAGAGCGGGCGCGAUGUUUGCAGUGACAGUGAGGCUAAAACAGCCCAACACAGGGCAUCUACAAUGCCAGCUACACCGAACAGUCGCACGCCGGAGCAAAAUCUUCGCCAAGAAAAAGUAAACGCCUUUGACAUAAGCCAACUGCCUGCAGAAGAGGCCGCUGAUCCCAAAUAUCCUCGGACCUCUGAAUGGCACUAUGGCGGGCAGCCCUCUGAGCUUCAACCCAGCUUAUCUGGAUAUGCCCAAACUCCACAGCAUCAGCAAUGGCAGGUUCCUAUGCAAUUUCAGUAUCUUCCGUACUCUGGAUUUAAUCCACAAGCUCCCCCACCUCAGGCAUACGCGUAUCAGCCACAGUUUUGGCAGCCAAAUAUCCAAAUGCCCGGCCAGAUUCAGGGCCAGUAUCAGAUGACUGCGGGCCAGGGAUUACCUCCCUGGCCCAUGUUCUGGCAAGCACAGAGUCUACCACAGAGCGGUGGAGAUGGAAGUCAGCAUCAAAUAUAUCAAUAUCAUUUGCAGGAUGGCCACGCUAUCUCCCCUGAGUUCUGGCAUUACUACCAGCAGCAGCUGUAUUAUAUGCAGCAUCUGCAGCAAGGUAGCAUCCAGGUGCAGCAGAAGCAGGAGCCUGGCCCGCAGCAGAAAAACGCUCCGUUGCAGCAUGAUCCUCUGCGACAGCAACAACAAGAGGAGCAACAUCAAGAGCAGCAUCUUCAGCUGAACAUCCUUCAGCUGCGGCAUCUACAAAAAAAAAUGGAAAUGGAUCAUUUGCAGUGGCAGGGCCAGCAACAGGAGCUUCGCCAAGCCCAGGAUUCGCAUUUGCAGCAUCAUUCACAGCCACGAUGCCAACCAGACGACUCACCUGAGUCUUCACCCACGCAGGAUCCUCCAAAAACACGACAAGACCAGCUAGAGCAGUAUGUGCAGCACCAAUCCAUUCAGCAGAAGGAUCGGAUGAUCCUGAGCCGCCAGGAACAUCAACAGCAGAUGUACUUGCCACAGCUGCAACAACAACUGCAGAAGCAGGAGAUCGGGACCUUGCGGGAUGCUAAGACCUCGAGAGAGAGUUACAAUUUAGAGGUAUCUAUCACCUGUCUUGUCUUCGUGCUAUAUUGCAGCCGAGUCUUGGAAUCAGUUUCGAAAAUUUUGACCUAAUUCCCGACGUAAAAAUCUUCUUAGGAUAUUGAAUGCUCUCUUCUCCUGAUAUAAUGUCCUAGCUUCUUCGAUUGAGUAUCAGCUGUAUGCUUCUGUGAAUUCAAAAAAGAUUACAUCACCGGCGCAUGAAUAGAAACUAAUUGGGCCAUGUUGCUCUUCAGAUUCAAGCACCCACUCGAGUUGCCGAAGAAGACGGCGCUGUUCAUCCAAUACCUGAGCCGCCGAAUGCCCCGAUCCAAUGACCCGCAGGUGGGAGAGCAGCUUUGCAUUGGCUUCAUUUGUUACAGUGAGGUCCGCAUCCGGCCUUCGUUGCCCAAGUUCAGACCUCUGGUCCGCGGAUCGUCCGUCAUCCAGCAGAUAACUCGCGAUUUGAAGGCCAUUCUGAAUCUGGCAGAAGCAGCGUCGCCGUUCGAAGCCGCUGAAGCAAUCUCCAAGCCCGCGCCGAGGAAGAGCAGCCGAGCUUCUCCGAGAAAGGGGGCUCAUCGGGCUUCGUCUUCUGGCAGAGCUCCUCCCGAGUUCCCUCUUUCUUUUACUCGGACGACUGAACUGGACCCCGCGGCCCUCAAAUCCCCUAUAAUUGUUGGAUCGACCCCCCUCGCGGGGAUGGAAACGCAAUGAUCUUCGAUGCGAGGGGCUUUCCUGCAAGGAAGACCCGAAGAGCGACCCGGAUGGGAAUAGUCAACGCUCGCAGGGCCCCCGAUUAUCUCUCUCCGCGCCCCCCCCUUUGACUAUCUCCACACACUCCGAGGAACGGCGCCUCCCGGCGGAAUCCUGCGGCAGAUUCUCUCCCUCCCUACUCCGGUCCGGCCCGUUGAAGAAGAGGAAGGGUCGUCCCCAUCGAUCCCCACUCAGCAGAUCCGAAUAUGCCGAGGAAUGCUCUCUCUCUCUCUCUCUCGCGCGCGCGCGCGCGCGCUCGCUCGCUCGCUAGCACUGCGUCGGCGAGUCGACCCCGUCCUCCGGCCGGCUGCACAUUGAACACCCGCGGCAUAUCCCCGGGCAUAUUCCCGGGGGAGCCCCAGCCGGUCCUGCUGCUGCUCCUCCCCCCAACUUGCUCUUUGAAGACGACGCCGUGCCGUACUGUGCCGUGGGAGCAGCCAAUGCGGGGGGGGGGGAGGGCCAUUUAGGAUCGAUCCCCUCCUCUCUGACGACGGCGGCGCCCUCGUCCGAGCUCGCCUAGGGCGCGGGGUUCUUCCGGCUGGCUGGUCGAGGCGGCGGAGGAUGAAGUUCGGGAAGCGGCUAAAGCGGCAGAUCGAGGAGACGCUGCCGGGGUGGCGGGACAUGUUCCUCUCGUACAAGGAUCUGAAGAGGCAGGUCCGCCUCAUCUCCUCCGACGCGCCGGGGAGGGCGUUUUCAUCGCCGCCGGGGAGGGCGGCGGUGUUGGAGUUCGUCCGCAUGCUGAAUGCCGAGGUGCACAAGCUCAACGUCUUCUUCAUCGAGCAGGAGGAGGACUUCGUCAUCCGCCACAAGGUAGGGGAGGAGAAGAGAUUGCUGGACGGCGGCCGCGGUGCUUCCUUCUCCUGAUCCGGAUCGGUGGUCUCUCCGCGCAGGAGCUGAGAGACAGGAUACGCGCCGCGGAGGAGACGGUGGGGCCUGGGAGCGCACGGCCGUCGGCGGCGGAGUACGCGGCGGAGAUGGGGAGGAUCAGGAGGGGCCUCGUCGACCUCCACGGGGAGAUGGUUCUGCUCGUGAACUACAGCAACGUCAACUACACGGGUCCUCUUCCUCUCUGAUCCUCGUCAACAUAUCUCAGAUCCUUUAGAUUCUUUCCUCGCUCGUUCUCCAAGUUUUUCUAGCAGAAUUGGCAAUUAUCGUCGGCGAUGAUGAGGAAUCAAUCGAAUCUACCCUGGCCGCGACAGGGCUGGCGAAGAUCCUGAAGAAGUACGACAAGCGGACCGGGGAUCUGCUGAGGCUCCCGUUCAUCGAGAAGGUGCUGACGCAGCCCUUCUUCACCACGGACCUCAUUUCGAAGCUGGUGAAGGACUGCGAGAGCACCAUGGACUCGGUGCUCCCUUCCCCGCCGCAGAAGAACCUGGAGGGGAGGGAGCGCAGAGCCAGAGCAGUGGCCCUCCCGCAUCGGCGGCCCGCCGGAGUAUCGUCAGGAACACGGUCGCCGCCCUCGUGACGAUGCAGGAGCUGCGGCGAGGGAGCUCCACUUACGGGCACUUCUCCCUCCCCCCGCUGAGCUUCCCCGAGACAGAUCUGCUGCAGGCCCUUCAGCUCCCAUCGCUCAUCUCCAUUCAGUGAGUGAGAUCCAUGAAGAAGCGACCCAUUUUAGCAGACACCCCCCCCCCCCUUCUGGUUCCAGACGACGGGGCGUGACGGAGGAAAAUCAGGGUCGCCCGGAGAAAGGAGAGGCCUUGUUAUCGACAGUCAGUAGUUCUUCUUUCGACGUGCUCGUCGCGGGAUGGGGGCUCUGAAUCGCCUCCCCCUUUGCUCCCCAUUAACGCGCUGGUUACUGGAAGAAGAAGACCUCCCUCGGUUGCUGGUAGCCGUGUUGCAACUAAUUAAAUGAAUAUUAUUUUUAUUCCGAUAUCUUUCAAAUCUAGAUAUUUUCCGAAUAUUUUCAAAUCUAGAUAUCUUUCCUCCAUUUUAUUAAAACUUGUUUAUUUUUUAACUGGAAGAUGGGUUUUUUUUAUUCUGCGAGAUAAGCGCCCACUUUUUAUACUUUCUUUGAUUGUGAGCCUUCACGAGUACUGGUGGCUGGCGCUUGAGAACCUCCAACUUGACAUGGUCAACAGUCAAGGUUAGGCGCGUGCAUGGAUGAAACCACAAAAACGGGUCCAAACUAGAUGACGUUCGUCCACCUGUCGCUUCCACAUACGCGUAUGGGUAAGUUGACCCAAGAGAGAGAGAGAUGGUGACGUCACUUCGAAGUUGAGUAGGCUGCAAGUCAUAGCAUCCACAAAAGGUAGCUACUCAAUAAAGGUCGGAAUCGUCAAAGUGGUGCAAGCAUGUUGUGGGUUUUGCUUCUAUCAGAAUUCAUGUAUCUUUUUUGUAGUUUCAAGAAGAAGGAAAAAAGUUGCAUCUUUUGCAGCCUAAAGGGUAGAACAAGCCCAACCCAUGUUGCCAAUUUUCGUACAAUUGAUAUUUUCAAUAUAUUUUUUUAUUGAAUUUUAGGUCGUCUAACUACAUAGUGGUUUCCCAUCCCAUGUUGAAGAUUAAUCUUUUGUUAAAAAAUAAAAUGGCUAGCAAAAUAUUUUGCAUUAAUCAUAGGAAACCAAGAAGUCAACUAAAUUAGUUUCAUUAACUUUUUCAUUGAAUGCAUGUUGGGCUUAUUGAGGCCAAAAAGAAAGAGGGUAGGGCUAUUUAAUAUUCGGCUUUCAGAUGGGUAAAGUUGGAAAUAAAUUAGAUGUAACAAAUAAGGAACAUUAUAAUUUAGGUAAAGUGGGCUCCCUAUCGACAAUCAAGGUGAUAACACAAGUGUUGCUCAUAAUCUAUAUUGGUUCCUGUUUUAUUUCCCCACUCAACUCUUUACAAAUGUUUUGUCCUAGCUCAACAUUGUUAGGAACUCUUUACUUAAAGCCGCUGGUUGCCACUAAGAGAUUUUUACCUCUGUAGAGAAGAUAGUCUAUGAAAAAAAGCUAAGUUGAACCCUCAAGCAUUAGUUCCAAACCUUCAUUUUAGUUUGACGUAUUAACAUAGAAUAUAAGUUGUUGUGUUAGCUUCAGCACCCAAAAGCAUUAUUCAAUGAGAACUGAUUUGGAGAACCAUUUACUUGUCAUUGUUAAGGUUCAUAAUUCUCCUCAAAGCAUUAUACAACCUAGAUUGAGCUUUACAUAAUUACCUAUUGACUGUUUCUUCUCUCAUAUAUUCUGAAUUUUAAAGUUCCUCCUAUGAAAACCUCACUAUAUUUCAUUAACAACUUUCUGUUGUACAACCAUUCUAUUGAUAUCUUCUAAUCUUGGUCAUUGUCUAUUCAUGAUGUCAAAGCAUAGACAUACUUAUACUAUCAUCAAAAGUGUGGCUUAGUAUACUCCCAUAUUGUAUAAUGCCAUCUUACACUCUAUAAUGCCAUCUUAAAAAAUAUGGAAUCAAAGGUGUGGCUUAGUAUACUCCCAUAUUGGUGGAGGAUCUUUUUAUAAUUCUCAUAUGUUAAAAUUUAGAAUAAACUUCUCAUAAGUUAAAGCAAUGACAUUAAUACACUCUUUCAACUAUAAAAGCACAAAAAAACAUUUUUCUAUCACUCUUUUUUCAUCAACAAAAUUUAUUUGGGUCUCAAAACCUCAAUAAUAUAGUGUCAUAUUUGAAGUCAAUAUCUAUUACACAAUCUUAUAGGGUUAAGAUUUUUAAAAUAAUUGCAAUAUCAAUUCCAUAUUUUUUUAUAGAAAUUAAGGAAUAAUGAUUUUAUAGAAGGAACAGUCUAUUAGAAAUCUUUAAAACUCACAUAAUAAUGGUACUCAGUUUUAAAGUUAACUUAAUUAUACAACAUUGGAAUUGCAAGGAGAUGAAAAAUUAGCAACUAGAAAUCUCAAAAUUUCUAGGUAAAGGAAGAACCAUCAAACAAUAUUAUUGCUUAAUACUAUACCAUUAUCUCAUACAUCAAUAAAACUUUUUCAAAGAAAAUUGAAGCCUUAUCAGUUAUUUCUUAUCAAUUUAUUUUUUAAUAAAAAUAUUUAUUAUUUAAUGUAAGUUAAAAUUUUAUUUUUUAAAUUAUUUGUGUUUGUUCUACUCAUUUUGAAUGAAAUUAAAAUUCACUUUUUCUUGGUUGUAUAAAUAAUAAGAAGUAAAGCCUCUAUUGGUUCUUAUGGAGGAUAGGGAGAAUACAAGGAGGUAGGAGUAAAUUAUUUCUUUAAAUUAUUUUCAAAUUUUGGUAUUUAAUUAUUUCUUUUAGUUCUACAUUAGGUGAUUUGGCACAUACUCAAGUUAAGUCAAUGUAGACUAACUUGGAUCGACAUAAUAUUGAGGUAAUUGUUGAGUUAAUGAUUUUGAUGUUCACAACUAAUCAUGAAAAGAAAGAAGAAUUAUUUUACUAUGCUGGUGUAUAGAUCAAGAUCGAAAUCAUUACAUCUAGUCAUUUAUAUUUUUAAAAUAUAAUUUUCUAGAUAUACUAUUACUACAUUAAUGUUGUGGAUCAAGAUCUAAAUCAUUAUAUCUAGUCCUUUAUUAUUGUUAAAAUAUAUCUUAAGAAAAUAGAUAUCAACUACCACAUAACUGAGAAGAAAAAUAAAUCAGAUUACAAAAAAAUUAGAAAGAAAAAGAGGAGAGAAAAAAGUUUCUACUCACAAAUCUGUGUCAGCCAUCAAGAAAUGAAAAAGAAAUAGACACUAGGCUGACUUAGAAAACCUUGUGUCAACUCAAGUAGAAUUGGGAAAGAGAGGUGAUUCUUGAGCCAAAAAUAUUUGUGGACAGAUUCAAAAUUGAGGAAUAAAAUGAAAGUUUUCAGACCUAAAAAAGCCUAUGUUGACUCAUCCAAAAUUGAGGAAGAGAAAUACAGUAUCAAGUCAUAAAUGCAUGUGUCAAUCCAUUAAUAGAUGUCCCAUCCCAUCCAAAACCAAAAAGAGAGGAAGUGUGUAAAACAUGUCCUAAGCAAGAAAAGUUAAGCCAUUCAACCUAAAGGAAAAGAAGAUUUGACUCACAUAAAAUGCAUUUUGACAUAUCAAAAGAUCAAAGAGUUCAAAAAGUUGGUCAGCAAGUUGGACAAACUAACUUUCGUGUAGUCUUACUAGUGGGUCAAUGCAAGUUUUGACCUAGGUAAUUUUUGAUCAAUCAAAUCGUAGAUGUUGGGAUUGUAUAAAUAAACCUUCACAUGAUCUUUCAAACUUAAACUUAACAAUUUCUCAAUUUCACCAUAAAUUCAGAAAUUAUUCUUAAAACUUUUACCAAAAGUGCAUCAUUAUCAAGGUUUUGUCAAGUGUUUAAUCAUUAGCAACAUCAAGUAGGCCCAUUCUCUUAGAAUUUGUAUUGAAAUAUAACUUCUCUAAGCAUAAAUUUAUAUGAGAAGCACUUUUGUCUUUCCAAUGAGAAAAUUCAGAAAUUUGAGUAUUAAUUCAUUCAAAAAUUACGUAAAUUAGAAUUAGGAAAAGGACUGCUCAAUCUAAAACUAGAUGAGGAUUUUCAUUGUGGCAUGUAGUAGACCGAAACACAUUAGGACAAGUUAUUAACCAGAGUAUAUGGUCAAAACUAGGAAACCUUUGGAAUUGUUGUAAAUGGAUUUCUUUAGUCCAACUAAGGCAUAAGUCUUAGUAGAAAAAUAUUUGGGUAUGCAAUCAUUCAUGAUUUUUAUAAAUUUACAAGGGUAAUUUUCUAAAAAGAAGCAUAAUUAACUCAAGGCAUUUAAGAAAUUUAACCAAAAAUAAUAAUAAUGAAAAUAAAUUGAAGAAUAAAAUUAGACAUGAUCAUGAAUGACAAUUUAAAAGUUUAAAUUAUUGGGAAAAAAAUUGGUAAUCAAAGAAAACCCCAUGAAUUUUCUAGUACACCUCAACAAAAUGGUAUUAUGGCUUACCACUAUCCUAAAUAAUUUUCUACUGAGGAGAUAAAUGGUCUAUUAUAUCAUGAAUAGAAUUGUGAUUGAGCCCCUAGUCAAGACAAUUUUUUUGUGAAUUCUAUUAAGGAAAGAAACAAAAUAAUAGUUACUUUUACUUUUUAGAUGCAAAUUCUUUACUUUGAGGACAUAGAAAAUUUUGAUUCUAGAAGUAAUGAAAAAACUAGAGUAUUGUGAAAAUUCACUUUUACAGUUUACAAUAAAUUAUAGGUUAGGAAACAACAAUUAAGAAUUUUAUAAAAGAAAUAGAAAAAAUUUUAGUUCAGGAUGAUGUGGAAUUAUUUGAAACUAAGGUUUAAGAUAUUCAAUUAGUGAUGAUGUGAUGCUCUCCGAACUAUAGGAAAAUAUAGAAAAGGAGAGGUUUUUAAGAGAAGGAAACUAUGUCAAGAUUCAUACAAUUAAUCAAAUUUUAGGGGAUUUUAAGAAAGGACUCUAAACUAGAUCAAGAUUUAAAAUUAAAAUAAUUGUGCAUUGAUUUCUAAAAUUUAGCCAAAAAAUGUUGAGUAAGCUUUAGAGAGUGAGAAUUAGAUUUGAUCACAAAAAAAGAGUUUAAUCAUUUUAGGUUGGUAAUAUUUGAACCUCACUCUCUAGGAUAUUCAAUAUGCUUGUCAUAGGAACAAAUUGGACUGUCAAAGAUACACCAACUUCACAUAAAUCUCGAAUAUGGAAUCUAAAAGCUAAUAUGUGUGUGUUUUACGUGGAUCAAACGAUGGCCCAAGCGUCGUUGGAUUGAUUUGAUGUCAAUAAUAAAGUUGCUUAUCCAUAAGAGAAGAAAAUGCAUUUCAAAUUUCAAAUCAGAUAGACAAAAGAAUGAAAUUUUUUGAAUCAAAAAAUAUAAAAAGUUGUUACCUACAUAUUCUAAAAAAUGGAAAUAUUUAGAAUUAAUUUUUUAAUAUCUAAUGACAGAGUCAAAGAAAGAAACCACUAGAGGAUGACACUUAUAACAAAAAAGAGGGUUUAGAAAAAAAGAACAUAUCUCUACAACAAUUUACAAUGUAUAUCUUUCAAAUUUCAUUCAUUAUGAACUUUAAUGAAGGACAUAAUAUUACACUUGAUCUUCUUAUGAUAUAAUGCUACAUUCAAUCUUCUUAUGACAUCAAUUUUAAAGAUUUAUACUCUCCAUCAGGCCCUAAGGUAAUUAUGUGACAAGGGCAGAGACAUUUAGGCAAAGGCAUAAAAUAUUUGUAGUCAUUUUUUGUCCUAAAAAAUUGUGGUACCUAAAGAGACUGAAUUAAAGUGGUUAAAAGGUUAAGUCCUUAAAUGAUAGUAUAUAUUUCCUAAAUAAAGUAGUGAAAUAUGAUAUAAAGGAUCUUGUGAAAUUGAAAGUAGUUAAGUGAGUAAUGAACUAGUAUAAAAAUUCUGAUUUUAUAAGUGAGAAAGAAGAAUCGUGAGAAUACCACAUAGAGAAAGAGAAAAUAUACAUAGAAGAAAAAAGAGAUGUUAGAGAACCCAUGUCAACAUAUUUAUCAAUAACGAAAAGGCACAAAUCAACAAAAAUCUAUAAACACUCAAUUCAACCCUCUCUUUUUGUAUUUCAUCUAUCAUGUUACUUUUUAUAAAUAAAGGAUCAAUUUAUUAGAAAUUUCAAGUCAUACUUUUCCCCUAAUUACACAUUUGAAUGAUUAAAUAUAAACAUGACAUCUUUUAAGGGCUUAGAUAUCAUUUUUUUUACUCCAAUAAUACAAUAAUUACACUGCUAACAUAUAUUUGAAGGUAUUAGUUUAUGCAUACUUGUAAGAGUCUUCACAUCAGCAUUCAACAUCAAUAAAUUACCAAAUUUUAAUACUUCUAGCGGAAUAGAUUAAUGAUUCAAAUAGUAUUCAAAGUAUCAUUAAUUUAAUUCCAAAGAAAUUGAUCAAAUCAUGAAUGGAAAAUAUUCAAAGUAUUUUUUUAAUUAAUAGACAUCAAGUAUAAUAUUUUAACUUUCAUCUCAAUACGUUACUUCAAUCAUUUGAAAAUUCUUAGAUGACUAGAUUAUGACUUUUUGGUAUCAUUUUAGUAAUUUUCAUCAAGUACAAUGAUGCUAAGGGAAGUAAUGAUUCCUAGUCAAUUUUCAAUCAUUAUAUUGUAUUUCAACUCAUGCAUGUCAAACAUAAUCAUUGAAAUAUCAUCUUAAUACUUAAUACAACUAAAAUCUAUUACAAAUAAUUUUAAAGUCAAUAUCAUUGAAUCAUAUGCCUAGUUCUUGCAGAAAGGAUAUGUUUUAGAAUUAUAAUCACAAUUUCUUUAAUUAUUUUUGUAUGCAUGUUUUUCCUUAUCAAAAAUUUUUUGAGACAAUUAAGACUCCUAAAUUAAAUAGAAUCCAUAAUAAUCAAAAUGGCGUGUUUUUGAGUAGUUGCUUGAACUAAAAAGCAAAGAUAAAUCUUAAAAGAGAAUGAAAAUUGAAUUAUUAUCAUCCUCCUUAAAUGUUAUAACAUAUUGGCCUUUAAAUAGUCUUUUGUCAAUUUUUAUUCUCUUAAAAAAUCUGAUUGAUGAACGAAUUUACAUUAAAUCAAAAUACUAUGAAACAUACUUUCUAAUAAUAUAGAUAUGGCAUUGUAUCCAUGCAGACUUUUAUUGGCUUAUUUUAAUUUGAACUUAAACUCAUUUAAUGACUUUCAACCUAUGCAAUCCAUAUUUUACUAUGGAGUCACAUGUACCACAUUAGAAAGUGCAUUUGAUUGCAUAGUUAACAUCUUUGAUAUGAUGAAUGACAAUUCAGUGCUAAUCAAAAUCAAAAAAUUUACCCAUAUCUACCAACUUAUCCUCAUGGUUCUUCUGAAUAUUCUACUUCUGCAAAAAAGAUAGUGAUUAAUUGACACUUACUAACUUAAUUUUACUAUGGAGCAUGAAAAAAUUUUUCUUCCUAAGUUCAUCAUUGCUAUCAUGAUGAAAACUCUCAGCCUUUUACACACUCACAACUUGUUUUAUAAGUUACUAUUUCCUUGAUCUACAUAGAAAAUCAAAAAUCUGGUCACAAAUACUGACUUUAGAUUGAAACUUGAUUGAUCACGUUGCCCAAUUUAUCUCACAAAGAUAUUCCUUCUGCUAGUCUACUUAAGCACUUUGUCAUUGAGCAUCUAUCAUUUUACCUAACCUAUGUCCAAUGCUGGCUUCACAAAGCUCUUAAAUGUUAAUGAUUAAAUCAAAGAUUAGGCAAAAGCUUUUGCCAAUAAUGUGAUGGACAUUAAGCAGUGAUUAAUUCUAGAAUUUUCUUUUUUUUUAAUAAAAAAUGAUGGAGAGGUUAUGCAUCUUGAGGGGAUCAAGCAUGUAUCAAGAAACUUUGUUUCUUUAUGACUGUUUGAUGUUUUCAUGUAUGGACCAAUUGUCUAAACUUCUGAAUUGUUGAUGUAAAAUUGUAUUCCCCUUUUCUUAAUUUAUCUUCUUUUGUUGUGAUUCCUAUGGUGUGUACUAAUUGUUGUACCUAGGAGUAGCAAUCCAAUCAUUGUGAGAAAAUUGGUGUGGUUGCUGAGAAUUCAUAAUAUUCAAAAAUCAUUGACAACCCAAAAGGAUGAAAUAUGACUAAUGGACUAAGUGAGAAAAAAAAUUAUACAGGGGAAAAUGGACUGAAAAUAUUAGUUGAAUUGUUUUUUGAUGUGCCAACAAGGGGACAUAAUGAACUAAAUAGUGAAAUGAAAAUACUGUUCUCAUUCAAUAAAAUUAGAAUAAAGAACUGAAAUGUGGAAUGAAACUUAUUUUCGUGCUUGAUGUGAGAAGCGAGAAUCAAGGUGAGUGGAUGAAAAUUAUCAUUGAGACAAGUGUUGAGAUUAUUCAGGUUUCAUUUCUUCCACUUGUUUGAACAUUUCCCCCAUAAAAUGGUGGAGAUUAUUCAUGUGAAUGAUAAUUUUAGGAUGUGAAAUCUGCGAAUUGCCUUAGUUUAACUAUCAAAAGGGCAAGGGUGGAAUCAGACAAAUGAUUUUUACAUUGGACCAUUGAGCCUCACAUAUGCUAGGAACUCAUGAAAAUUGUAAUUAAAAGUACUCAACGCAAUAAACAGUAAAUCAAGAAUUCAAAGAGUUCAAAUUGUCCUGAUUUUAUUUCCACUAAAGUGAAAAGUUAUUUCUAAAUUGUAUAAUUUAAUGUGAAAAAUAAUCUAUAUUUUAACUUGUGUUAAAGAAAGCAGGUCAAAUAAGGAAUCCAACAUAGCAGAUCUGAUGGUUUCGAAUUUUUAUGUAUUUUACAAGGUUUACCAACAUUUUCUUGCAUUAUCCGUCACAUGUGCAGUCCAAUACAGACCACUCAACUAAUUGUUGAGAUGCCUGUUCGGCCCAUUAAGCCCAGCAUAGAAAUAGGGCUUUCACCCAAAAAUGGGGCAUCAGGAAAGAUCAAAAGAUAGAGCACAGGAGUCUAUCUCUCUGCCCUCUUUCUGCUUACAGAAAUCUUCUAGAACCCAAGCUGCAAAUUCAAUGUCUCCAAGUUUCUGCAACUCCUGAUAGUUAUUUGCGGCUAAAUAUCUUUGAAAAGCUUCCUUACAAUCUUCUUCCUCAACAGCAAGAUUCAGCAUCCUAUUUGAAGGCAUGGGUAUGCCUCCGUAUUUCUUGAACUGCUAAUAAUUAUUUACCGCUAAAUAUCUUUGAAAAGCUUCCUCGCAUACUUCUUGCUCGACAGCAAGAUUCAACAUCCUAUUUAGAAAUAGGCGGUAGAAACAGCCUACUUCUGUUGGGUUUGAAUUUCUAAAGGCUCUCUAGGAUCACUUGUCUCAAGAUUUGGAGGCUAGAUAGAGCUUGAACAUCCAGAAAGGGGAGAAAACCCACAUGAAGAUAUAUCGUGCAAGGAAGAGAGUAUGAUCCCACAAAGCCGCCCCCACUUGAUCUGCUUAUUGGGCGAUAAAAAUAGAAUUUUCAUUCUCUUUGGGGGGCUCAUAUUUUAUUCUGGAUUCAAGCAACCAUUAUCAGUUCAAAGGACAACAUUUUGGAUCAUUGUGGAUUCAAGGAUCAUCAAAAUUAUUUAUUGUGGAUACAAGCCAAUGGGAUUUCGCAGUGAUUUACUUAUGUUGGUCCGUUGAACUUCAUCCCCCAAUUGACAGUUUUGUAUCCACUAAAUCAUGGUUGGUUUUUGAGGCAAGAGAUUUGUGUUUGGAGGUCAACAUCAAUCAGAAAGAAACGGUCGAGUGACGUGUCCUUGGCGAUUUCAUUAAAUGGACGAUAGAAAACACAGCUUUUGUUUGAGAUCUUCGUGAGAUUAUUCAUUCUGAUGUUCUUCAAAAUGUUUGGUUAGUGGGCUUUUUGGUAGCUACACAUGCAUCACUAUUGCCCACGUUCCUAAGAUUCCUGAGAGAUUCAGGCUCUUCUUCUUCAUGCGCCAUAAAUGGGAGGUUAACGAAUGCUGCAGCCUGGGCCCAGACUAGCCAGGGGAGUGCCAAUAGUGAUCACCGGCAGGAGGAAGAACAUUAACAGUUGAACAUCAAAGACGGGGGCGUAAAUGGGCAGGGAACAGUGGGGUGGAUAAAUGCGCUGCCACCUGUGGUCCAUGUGGACUACCACGUGGGUUUCCGAGCCGUUGUGAUGCUAUUUCCUUCAUUUAUUUCUUUAAGGGUCGUUAUUUCUCUAGGAGCUCAAGGCGACUCCCCGUGAGAAGAUGAUUUCUGUUCCAAUGGCUCUGCGAUGCGGGAACAGAUGACGAGGGGCGUCCUUCGAUUCAUUCGGCGAGAGAUCUCGACCGAUCACACUCGAACAGAAGUAAAAUGCCAUCCUUUUCAGGUACUAGAUACAAAAAAGAAGCUAAUUUUGCUCUUCUUCUGGGAAGAAAACAGAGACUCAGCUGUCUCCCCUCGUUGGUUUUCCCCAGGACAAGGGGGAAGUGAGCUGAAAACGCGCCUCCAGGACGAACACCAUGUACACGAUGAAGGAAUUGGGCAGGAGAACCCGCAGCCGGAGAGGGGAGAGGGAGAGAGGAGAGAGGAGAGAUUUCUGACCUUUCUCGUAUCCCUCGUCCUGUUCGUCGUGGUUGCUGGUUCUCGUCGUCGAGGGGGGUUUGCUUCGGACAACCCACCCUGGCUGAUCUUGUGUUGUGGUUUUCGAAGAAUUUGAAGAAAUGGAAGAGCAGGGAUCUGUCCACGGAAUGAAAAAACGGGACAUGUUCAGGGCUCCACGUCGUCCCAGCUGAGGUCCCCGCCGCCUCCGGUGACGACGAUGGCUGUGCCGUUGUUGAAGGCGGGGCACUGGUAGGACGGCCGAGAUCCGUCGCCGCCGGCGCUGGCGGGGCAUCCGGAGGGCCCCACGGGCAGCGGUGCCAUGCAGUUGUAGGAUAGGCAGACCGUCACCCCGUCCGGAAGGGGCGGCGAGACGGCGGCGCCGGCCACACCGCCGCCGGGAAUCGGAAGUGGAGAGUCGAGUCCGGAGAGGUAGUUGUGCUGAGCAUAGAGCGUCGUCAUGGUGCCCGCGUAGAGGCUGCGAACGAACUCCGACGGCAGGGUCCCCGUCAGACGGUUGUAGUUCACGAAGAGGCUGCCGGCCGCCGCCAGACCCCCCGGAAGGGGACCCGUCAGCUGAUUGUGGCUCAGGUCCACCGUCCACUUCGCGAUGGCUCCCGGCUCGACGGGCUCCGGUAUAGGGCCCGACAAGCUGUUCCGCUGCAGCAAGAGCACCGCCAAUGGCGGUGGCACCUCCUCCUCCGGGGGGCGCCGUGGAUUGAAGAGGGCACUGGGUACGGGACCGGAGAAGCCGUUCAUGGAAAGGUCGAGAAAAGCGAGGUCGGGAAAUGAGGCGUCGAGGGCUUCGAGGGGACCCGACAUUGCGUUGUUGGAGACGGAGAUGUAGUGGAGAGUGGCCGGGAGAGGGCGAGGAAGAGGUCCGGUGAGGUUGUUCUCGCGGAGGUCGAGAUGGAGGAGCGGGACGGCGACAGGGGGGAUUUCCCCGGAGAGACCGCCGUUGGCGGCGAGGAUUACGACCCGGAGGCUGGGUAGAGCGAGGAGGGCCGGGGGAAUGGCACCGGAGAGGCGAUUGUGGCUGAGAUCGAGCGUGUGGAGGCUGGGGAGAACCCCUAAGGAGGCCGGGAUGGGGCCGGAUAGAAGGUUUCCGCUCAAGGAAAGGAGGCGGAGCGAGGGCAGGCGGGCUCCGCCGAGCGCCUCGGGGAUGGGCCCGGAGACGCGGCCGGGGGAGAGGACGAGCUGGGUGAGAAGCGUGAGGUUGGCAAGGGAGGGUGGAAGCGUCCCGGCGAGGCCCGGAGAUCCUGCAGAACCGGCAGAUCCGAGGGUGAGAGACGUCACCCGGAGGGUCGCAUCGUCGUCGGCAGGGGAGCAGACGACGCCGGCGAAGGAGGAGCAGGCGUCGGAGGCGGCAGACGGUGAAUCCAAGCGCCACGAGGAGAAGAAGCCCGAGCCGGGGAGGUCGCGGAGGCUCUGUCUGAGGUCUAUGAGCACAUCAAGGUCCCCGCUGGUCAGACGAGCACCAAGAGCCAGCGUCUCCUGCGGCCGCUGCUGCGCGGUGGCCAACCAGGCCCCUCGCGAGACCAAGAUCACGGAGAGUAAGAGCGAGAGAAGGCUCGCCAUGGCAGCGUGAAGUCGCCCGCAGCGCGAUGGGGUCCGCGAGAGGAUUCUCUCUCCCACAGGAAGCCGGCGGAGAUGGGCGCGCGCGAGAAAUGUCGGCCAAAACAAAGGGCAGCCGCGCUCAGUCACAGGCUUUGUAAAGGCGCGUUCUUGCCAGCAGGUGUGGGGGCGGGUUGGCUCCCGUUGCCUAAUCCUCCUCUGCGUCACUAGCGUAGCAGCGCGGCCGCAAUGAUGGCUCUCACAGGGGGGAGGGGGGGUUUACGGUCGUCGUACAGCGGGACGAGGGGGCACGUGGUGGAAGUUGGACGGACGCCGAAUGGUCCUGCGCCGUUGCAUGUUUCCAUGUCCCUUCUGUUGCGUGACGACACGGCCAACUGGCCGAGAAAAGACAAGGCAUGCUUGCUUGCUUGCCUCGCCUCGAUUCCUUUGCCCGGGCCGACUCCCCGGCGGCUUGCACACGCGGCACGGGGGUUUCUGCUGCCCAGGUUAGGUUCCGCGCUUGGAGAAGAGGUGGGUGAACAGCGACACACAGAGGGGUGGAGGGGCCGGCCUUCCGGCCAGGGAAUGGAUGUCCCGGCAAGAACAGGGAGAAUCUGUGGAGCCGACGCCCGCCCGACGCGGGCUCGCCCGGCGCGCAAUGCUAGCAACUGCAGCAGGAAUUGGGGAACUAAGCCAGAACGGAGCUCGAGCUCCCUCCCGAGGGAGGUCUCGCCGGAAUUUCCAAGAGGGGAUCUUGGAAAGAACUCAAAUAUUGGAAGUCCCUUGGAGGCGGGGGGCCGGUCGCCGACAGGCCUUUUCGAACUCGCGCUUCAAAAUAUAUCAAAGUUGGAUUUGUUGGAACCGACUUGACGGUCUCAAGCUCUUUUCACUCCCUCGUCACUGCUACUGCAUAGAUUAUGCCGUGCUCCGUCCUUCCUUGACGGGGCCUCCCCUGCCCUCUUCCCUCCCCUCGACUGGCGAUGCACGGCUGCGCGCCGCCGGCCAUGGCAUCCUCCGAGCCCUUCCCUACCCGGCCAGCUCGGUGGAGAAGCGCCAUUUGCGGCGGCGUGUCUGGGCUUCUCCAGUAGUCAAGCCUGUUGGGGUUCAGCUUUGUUGGCUCUCGCUCGGACCAGGGUCAAACUGGGUCCGACUCCACCUAAUAUUUCACUCAAUAUUCUACUUCUAUGCAGAUGGGUUGGUGCGACCCAUCAUAAAUAAUUAACCCGCUUGCUCAAAUCUGCUCCUUGCGGAAGUCGAACCAGCCCGACCUUAAUAAAAUACGGCCGACCGAUCUGGUGAUAAAAUACGGCCGACCGAUCUUUACUAUUCUUAGGUGCAUAGUAGCAUGUGCUAACGGCCAUAUUCCACGGCUGCCUAGGCUGCUAACAUAUUGCUUUGUUCUUAGGCACAAAUCCUAACCCAGGUUUGAAGUAACGGAGACUGAUUUUAUUGUUUUACAUGCUCUGAGGGCAUUGGUCCAACGGUGGCUGGUAAUGACGCUCUAACAUACGCGAAGACAGAGAAACUUAGCAAGCUCUGUCUGGGAGGGGAAUCACUCCUGGAUGAUGAUUUGAGUGGGUUAAACUGUUCUUAAAAAAAAAAAUGGUAGAACGCAAUGAGAAAAUAUCGGCAGCAUCAAAUAAGUUUAAGGAAAAAUCGGAAAAGUUUUGCUAUAAUGGGUCCCAGAUAAGUGUAAACGUCAGAAAAGCUUUGGUAGUUUUGCCGACAGUCACCGCUGUUCAUCGAUUUGUACUCCAUUCAAGGUAAAACCGGAAAUGAAGAACAACGAUGCGAGCUGGUGAAUAAACUCUGUUAUGGUAUGAACCCCAACAUGGCUAUUAAAUGAGCAUUCUUAUUGAGGAUAAGAUAUCCUAUUAUUGAGGGCAGCCCCAACAUGGCUGUUAGCUCGAAUCAUUAACAAAAAUGUCGUGGAUGUCACUCCCCUGGUCCCGGUGAUAUUUAUGCCUGUCUCUCUCCCCACCAAAGUGUCUGGAACUUUUGGCAUAUGACAAUAGCUCGUGGGCCUGCCUAUCUCAUCUUUGGUUGGAUCACUCUCCGCAAUUCUCGCGGAAGGCUCUUCUUCUUCCUCGACGUCAGUAUACUCUCAUCUCUGCCAGACGGCUCUCCGAACACCGACAGCGGCGAUAAAUGCGAAUAGGGAGUUCUCAGCGCAUUGCUUGUUAAUACCCCAUGUGGGGUUAAAACGUUUGGAAGAACGCGGUUGUGUGAGUAACUCACAGUAGUGGUGCACUGACGAGAGGAGUUACUCGCCUGCAUGGAUCCUCAUCAUGUGGGCAUUUAAGCGCUGCCGCUGCUACUGCCAUCGUAAAGGACCUGACGGCAGGCCGCCGUUCAAGGGCUCCGACCAGUCGGUCGCCGAGCAUAGAUGCUGAGACGCGUAUUGUUUUCUGUACUUUGCCUGGAUGUGAAUUGUGGCCGUCACCGCAGAAGAAAAUUCGCCGUUUCAGCCUCCCAAGCCUGAAAACUUGACGGCGUACGUAAAGCGCCGCCGGUGGAUCAAGAAUGGAGCAAGUCUUAAAGGUCAACUGAGGAGUCAGCGUGGCUGUCAACGACAACGAGGCGAACGUUUGAAGGGGGUGAAGGGGGAGAAGGGGGGGACCUUGUUGAGUGAGCAGACAACCACAACGGUCUUCAUAUUAAAUGCCAUCACAUGAUCCGCUCUUGGCGCGAUGUAUGAACUUAUAGCCAUCAUUGCUUGCCGGUCACUCUCGCAAGUACCCCCCGGCACAAGAUCAGUCAGUCUUUCGGCUCUUCCCUUUCCCACCCUGCCGACAAGGGAGAUAAGGCCACGAACAUGCAUCAUGAAACUCUCUCUCUCUCUCUCUCUCUCUCUCUCUCUCUCUCUAUCGCUGGUAUCUAUUCAUCUUUAUCCCUGCAUCUCAUCUCAGUCCGAGUCUCCUCAAGGAAGGCCACACACAUCUCUCUCUUUCUCCCUUCAAAUCCCUCUCUCUCUAUCUAUACAGGUCAACGUGCCGACGCCGGCUUGUCUUCUACUCGUCAAGUGCGAGUUCAGAUGGGGAGGGGAUCUUAAUGAAACCUACAGAGUUCAGAACGCUUCGUGCUUCUUCGGGUUGCCUCUAAAUACUGGAGACAGCGACCUCAGUAAAUGCCAAAACGGUGUAGUAAUUGCACAAUGGAAGAGCCGAGCAGGGUCACUGCUCUUCUUCAUGUUGCUGACAACUGACGCGGGGUUCUCUUCGAUUUUUCUUCGUCUUCUUUCUUCGUAGCAUGACAUCACUCAUAAUGGUCGUCACCUCUCUCUCUCUCUCUCUCUGCCGUUUUUUCGUAGGCGGUGGUAUAAACCGUCAGUUGCUGAAGAGUUCCCUAAAAUAGGAUCAGAGUUGACUCGCACCGAAGUGUCUACGCCCACCUCAAAGCCUGAUAUCGUUGACUACAGAGAGUUUAACCAAGUAUAAGCCUGAAACUUCAGAAUUUUAGGUACGAUACCAACUGUCUCCCUACUGCUGCACUGCAGGCUUCCUGUUCGUCGACCCUACUCCAAAUUCGCAGCUGACAUGGCCCAGCUAAGACGCCUCGAAUACGGCAGGUAGUUUCGUACGGAGAGAGUACCUCUUACCAUUGCCAAUGGACUGAGUAGGCUCAUAGCUCAGCUUCGGACCGGACUUGGGUUUCUUCGUGCGCCAGGGUCUAGAAAAAUCAGGUCCUAGAAUAAGAGUAGGCUCUCCAAGGAACUGUAGGGGAGCCAUCAGCCUGCCUCCGCUUGCCCGACUCUAGAACGUGCUCUGUUGCCUAAGUGGAGACCCCCCCCGCCUCCUGCCGCGUAACCCGCGUUGUCUCCAACAUCGGCGGCUGAUAAUCCGCCUGCAUGGUGGGCUCUCCCAGGGAGGAGGAGGAGGGAAGGGGGGGAGACGCGUCGCGCAGAGUUUCACUUCAAUUCAAAAAAAUAAAUUUCAAGACUUGUGAAGAAAUUAAGGGGGGGUAGACUCGGAACGGUAAUGGUUUUGAACGGCUAAAUUGUAUUUAAUGUUCGCUAAUAAUCGAUUUCAUUCGUUCGCUGCGGCACAAGGCGAAAGAAGGGCUGGAAGCGUGAUGGACGCACGUAUCCGGGCCAUCGUCGACGCCAUCCACGCCAGCCCCUCCCAGGCUGUCAUCUACCUCGCCGGAGGUGCCUCUCAGGUGUGUCGGUCUCUCGUUCUCUGCUUCUUAGUUCCCCUCCCUGCCGCCGAUUCCCGACAACUGCAGAAUUCUGAAAAUGGCUGUUUUUUCGAUUGCUGCCUCCAGGCGCUCGGGUGGCUGCUGUCUGUUCCAGGAGCUUCUAACACCGUUCUCGAGGCUUUGGUUCCCUACUCCAAGACCUCCAUGUCCCAACUCCUCGGGAAGGUAACUCGUCGUCUCCUUCCCUAUGAAUAAUUUUCCCUAUUCGGCAUCUUCUUUCAUCUCGAACCCCGACAGCUUGUUUGCGUAUCCGUUUUAGUUUUCUCCUUUCGAUAUGUUCGGCCUGUUGUUCCAUAUUUAUCUGCCUCUUACCCGAGGAACAUUCAAACUCUGGAAUGUGGUGCGUCUGAUGGAAAGAUAAAAAGAAUCGUUUGUCCGACUACGUUUUGAUGGGGGAAAGUUUGUGAAUUAUUUAUUGAUUGAAUGUCUUGGGAUCGAACUCAACUAUAGCCUGAUAUGGCGAGAAUGUUUAUGCAACCCUGCCAAGUUUGAAUACACCUGAACCAUGUUUGGUUCCUUCGGAGUCAUUAGAUGCAACCUCUCGUUUGCAGGAGGAUGCUUUUUCCUUGAUCUUCUCAGUCUUAUUUUCUAUUAGUGGCUUCGAUCCAUUUCAAAGAGGUGGUCAUCUCAUGCAUCACAAACUUUAAGGUAUUUUGGUUAGGCAUCAGGCCUAGCUUUUCUCCCUAAACCGCCAUUGAUAGUCCACUCCAUUAGGAAAUGCAAAUCAGGCUGUGUCUUAUUGAUAUGGUGCAUCACUGGUUCCCUGGCCCAUUUUGUCUCACAAACAGCAUACAGUAAGUUUUAAACUAAAAUAGCAAAAAUAACGGACGAAUAUCUGAACAAGAAUAAAUUUCAAAGAGUGAAAACCUUACCAUAACCCGCAAUACAAACAGGGAGGAUGAAGAAAACAAAUGCUAUGGAAAACCUUACUACAUCAUCUUCUAAUUCUUUUUUAAACCAAGAAUAUUAAAAAAUUGCUUCUUUACUUGUUCUAUACUUUUAAUGUAUUAUUGAGUACCUCAGGUGGAUCCUAUCUCUGAAAACUGCAUUUAAGGUUUACAGUCUAGUCGUGUGCUACCUUAUAAUACUUGCUGGUUCACUUUAUUCAUAUGGGUUGGAUUUACAUCACUGAGGCACUCUUUGACUUAUGGAAGUUGUCCCUAGUAAAGCCCUAAACAUAGGUUCUUCUGAUCCAUAUCUCCUUCUUCACAAGUUUUGAUGUCUUAGCAAGGCCUGUGCAUAUAGUUUAAAAAUAUGUAUACUGAUAACUGGGUUAUGUUAUCACCAAACCAAUUUUAGAGCUCAGAAAAAGAGUUAUCUAAAAGUAAUAUGAAAGAUAUCUACCACUUUUGAGUUUAGAAUUCCUCUUUGUCACAUGACUGCAACAUUUUUUAUUAAAGAGGAUUGUUUUCUUCUAUCAAACCCAAGAAACGACAGAGAGCAUAAAAAAAAUGAAAGAGUAAAUAUGAAGAUUUCAUGUUAUUGCAUAUUUGAAAUCACACUUCUCUGUGUGGCUUAUAUCUUGAACUAAGCACAGAUUUCUGAUGUUAAAAGGAACUGCAUUAUUGUCUUGUUUUAGCAUAAGCCUUAAAAAUUCUCACAUUAUUGCGACCAUUUUGGUAUCUUAGCUCAGCUUAAUCACCUUUGUAGGAAGUACCCAGUUUCUUUAGGACAUGAUGAUUUGAUGCUAAACUAGGUCUAGUUUCUGUUCUUCUAAGAGGCUGGAAACAUAUAUAUUCUUGUACAAGGUGUUUCUAUUCCCGUGUGUUACUGCUGAGAAAUGAAGGCUAUCAAAUCCUGAGAGGACUGCUACAGAGAUCAACUAUGAAAAAUGUAUGAUCUAUUCAUGUACAAAGGCAGGUGUAUCUUCUUGGUUAAGAGUUCAGACAACAGUAUCUCCUAGGAUUAGGGUCAAUUAGGGGUAAUGAAAGGAUCUUAGAUUUAUGAAGAAACGACAACAAGAAAGAUCUGAUAUCUUUGCAUAAUCUUCUCAGUUAAUAUAAUAUAGCAGAGGUAAGGGAUGGUACUAAUGCUUUCCAAUCGACAGAUACUGUGUUUUCCUCAUUCAAUUUUAUUUGACGUCAGUACUUUUUGUCUUGUGGGAAUAUAUAGUUUAGCUAAUUGUAACCUGAAAUGAAUUUUCUUCUGUUGGGAGCUCACUGUUACAGAACUUCAUAGAAGUGACUAUCAGCUCAUGUACUGGAGCACUCCAUAGAACUGCUAGAUUUUAGACAAUAGGCAACAUGUUAUAAUGAUUGGAUCCCGCCUCAUCUCUUCACGAGGUUAAAUUGCACAACCAUGCUACCAGCAAGGUAGUCUACUCAACAUGUGAAUAGUGCAUAUUUUUAAAAAGGCUAUUUCUGGUCCAAAACUAUGUUGACUGAAAUUUUGGAACACUUUCUAUGGGGGCUCAUGUCAAACACCACGACAAAAGGAAAGCUUAUCCAUAGUCAUGGGACCAUCUAUUUUAUACAGGAAAACACAAGAUUCUGGGGGAAGACUCAAUAUGGUCAUGACAAUAGAUGAAAUAGUAUCAUUGCACUGGGGCGAUCUAUUUCAGUAUCUUUUCUGUAGUGUAUGUCAUAUAGUUUCAUUUUAGAUUAUUACUAAGUUACAUUACAAUGUGACCAUACUUUAGUUCACUUGCUGUUCAAGUUCUUGGUCAAGUAUUGUAACCUGCCAAUAGAAUUUACCCAUUCAAUUCAGUGGUCUGGGUCAGGUGAAGAUUGACUGUCUUGAUUGGACCAUAUGUUGUGGUGUAAUGUUUUCAUGUGAACUAUCAAAUAAUCCCCCUCUACAAUGGUCUUGGGUUUUUCUUCAUAUUGAAUCCCUCUGUAACCUCCCAUGUCCUCUAUAUGUUACAGGCCCGUUGGCAAAGCUUAUUGUACAAAUUAUCAUAUUAUUUCACCAGAAAAACACUGUUAAAAUGGCUGAAAUUGCAAUAUAUCAUAAAAAUUAAGCUUAAUGACUAGGGUCGUUAGCUCACUGCCAAAUCUCUAACUCUGCAUACAGAUGGUAAGAAAUACGGAGUUCUGCAAUUAACCCUUAUACCUUUCACCAAUUCUUCAGUUUGUAUGUUGCUUGUAUGUAUUUACCAUCAGUUGUCAAUCUUUCAGCAGAAGCAAGGAGCUCAUUCUACAGUACUCAGAGAAAUAACCCUAAGAAGAUAAUAUUAUAAGCUGAUUGCUGUGUUAAUCAUUCUAUGAGUAUGGUGUUCUGAAAAACAGUCAGUCUCUUUUGGUAUCAUCAUAAGGCAUGCAAGUAAAAUAUCUUGCAAUUUAUUUCUCUCUUUCGUCAAUGAUCAUCCAAGAGGAGAGAACAGAGGUGGCAUUUUCUAGCCAUAGUAUUUUCUGUUGUUUUUUUCUUCUGCACUUUGUUUCUGGACGGCAACAUUGGCCUUUGUCGCCACUUUCAACAUAAUUCUGUCAUAGACUGCUUUGAAAUAAGAAGUCACAAAAAGAGCAAGCCGUUAGAUUAUUGCCUAUCGAAGUUUGUUCGCAAUAUCAUUAACACUUGCAUAGCAUUAGUUAAGAUGAUCUUCAGCAUAACUUUUUUGAUUUAUCAUCUAUUUCCAUCAUGUCUUUCUUUUUACCUUCACUUCCUUGGAUUAUCCCAUGAUUUUUUUCCUUUAUUAUUCUAAUAUUGCAUCUCUUUUUGUUGAUGUAUGCCCUUUUCUUUAAGCUUGCAUUCCUUCAAAAUGACUGCCCAAUGGUUCUUUAAAUAUUUUUUUAUUUUUCUCCCUCGUCAGUUUGAUUCUGCCAGUCUGCUCCUAAUUUUAUCUCUUCAGGCCAGUCUAAUUUGCAAAUUUAUAGCAAAACAGUAUGUGGGUGAAGGUUAUGUCUUUCUGUGGGCAUUUUAUUCGUUCUUAUUCACAGACAAGUACAGACAUACUGGACAACAUAGAAAGUAGAAGAAAUCUAAGGUCUCAUGCCAUUAAAAUCAUGCAUCAUUAAUAAAGUUUACUUUAUUCAGUUGGCUGAAAAAUAUGAUAGACGUUGACUUGGGUAUGUGUAAAUUGCCAAAGAAAAUGAUGAUGUUAAUCAGUAACUUUGAAUGAUAAAUUCUGAUAAUAGAAAGUGGUUGGUCGUGGUAACUUAAAUGAAAGGAUUUCAAUGUUACAUAUUGUAUGUGGGAUUUGUUACUCUGUUUCCUACGUAAUGAAUUUUAGGUUCCUGCGCAUUUCACUAGCCAAGAAGUUGUAGAAGAAAUGGCAAUGUUGGCCUACAAUCGUGCAUUGAAGCUGUCUAGACCAGGUUCUUGUUCUUCAAUGGUUUUCUAUAACACUAAAUCAUAACAGUGUUUUUCUACUUCAGUUAUCUGCUUCAUUCAUCCUUUCAUACCUUUCGUUUAUCUGAUAUCAAACGGAGUUGGCUAAAGUUUCAUUCUUUUGGCUUCAAAUGAAUUUCUCCUUGAAGGCAUUGUUGUUUAGAUUUUUUUGAAGUGAUGUUACAAUAUUGAAUAAGUUCUUAAUUCAUUAGUUUCAAUUUCAUCAUGUUGAUAGAAAAAGGGGAUGAGAAGACACCAUAGAUGUGGAGAUGGCCAGUUUUUCGAUGAGAAGACACUUGUACACCUGGUACAAGUGUGCUUAGGAUACAAAAUUAAAGAUAAAAUAGAAAGACAGAAACACCCUCAUGUUCUUGGCAUUUUCUCUCGAUAAAAUUAUGGAUACUUAUCAUGUUGACCUUGCACAAUGUGUGUUGAAGUCACCUUGUGUAAAUCUGUCAAUCUAAAUAACUAAACAUUGGCCAUUUUGUUGAGGCAGAGAUAGGCAGUGGAAGACUAGCACCAAAAAAGGGAGAGUACAGGAGGAGGAAGAGAUAAAAUGAGAGAAUAUAAAUAGUCUUACCAUGGGCUGUAAGGCCCUUGGUACUUAUACAUAAACCCUUAGAGGUAAAAUCAUAAAUGAUAGAAAAUAAAUAGAGAAACAGAAGGGGGAAUAUAUCUGACAACACUCCCCCUCAAGUUGGUGAAUGGAUGUCAUCCAUGCCCAGCUUGCCACAUAGUUCGUAGAAGCAUAAUGAGGAGAGGUCCUUCAUGAAGAUGUAUGCCUGCUGUUGAGUAGAUGGGAUAUAUGGAGUAAAGAAAUCUCCUGUCUUGAGUUUUUCCUUAAUAAAGUGGUGAUCCACUUCGACGUGCUUCAUGUGGUCAUGCUAAACUAGAUCAUGGGUGAUGUUGAUGACUAAUUUUUUGUCUCAUAAUAGUUGAACUAGAUGAAUGUAUGGAAGUCCAAUUUCAGUCAAUAGUUACUUGAUCUAAAUAGCUUCACACAGACCUUGAACCAUUGCUUGGAACUUAGCCUUUGCACUUGACCAAGCAAGAAUUAGUGAGCUUUACUGACUCUACUUUUAUUUUUUUUCACCCUAAAGGAAUGAUUUAUUUGGGUUCAAUGGCUUUGAUAUUCUACUUUAUGGGUAGAAAAGAUACCCGAACAUUUUUUUUCUUUAUCUACAGGAAAUAGUGAUGUAGUUUCCAUUUGCCAUCAUGAGAUCAACCUCAAUAAGGAUCAUCUUUCUGCCAGAAUAUCUAUUUAAGAACUAUUUAAAUAUUUUUUGGCUGUCAUUAUAUUCAUUCUCUUUCAUAAUCUAUGGAAGGUGCAUUAGCUGGUGGUGGAACAACGAUCAAUUUAUGAGCCAGCAUAAUCUGUGUCCGUGUUGACCUCCAGGCAGAGUUGAGCAUCCUGCCAGAAGAGUAUCUUGUGGCCCACCGUACCUUUGAGGUAACAAUGUGUACGAGUGGCAGCAUGGAGGUGAGGUGCUUGAGGAGCAUGCAUGAAUUGACUCAAAAUGUUGAUCGUGUAGGCAAUGUUGGGUCGAGGGUAGGUGAGAUAGAUGAGCUUGCCGACCAACUUCUGAUAAGACCCUUGAUCAAUAGGUUCCGUAUUUGCAACAUCUACCAAGCGAUGAUUAGUUUUGAAUGAAAGUAUCCAGUGGUUGCGAAGCUGAUUUGUCAAGUUCUUGAAGAAGGUCUAGUGUACUUAUACUAGCAGAUAAAGAUACCCACAACACUAUAAGCCACUUCUAGUCCCAAAAAAUACUACAGUAAGCCCAGAUGUUAGAUCUCAAAUACCAAGGCCAAUCAGUGAGCAAGAGAUUGAGCCUCAAUAGUGUCGCUCUUGGUGAUGAUGAUAUUGUCAACAUAUAUUAAGAGGAGAGUGACUCCCCCUAACAAGGAAUGGUGAUAGAACAUAGUAUGAUCAUCAUUACUUCGUUGAUAACCAAAAGACAUUAUCAAGAUGGUGAAGUGACCAAACUAGGAGGGAGGUGACUAUUGAGGCAGUAGAGCACCUUGUUGAGCUGACAAACAACUAGAGUUGACAAGGAGAUCCAGUAUCCAGGAGGAAGUGUCAUAUAUAUAUCCUCUUGAAGGUCCCCUUACAAGAAGACAUUCUUGAUGUCGAAUUGCUGCAGGGCCCAGUCAAAGUGAUGAGCCAAAGUAAGGAAAAUACAGAUUGUGUUCAUCUUGGCUACUAGGGCAGAUGUCUCCUGAUAAUCAAUACCAUAUUAUUGAGUAUAACUAUUGGCAACCAAAUGAGCUUUGUAAUACUCCACGAAGCCAUCAGAUUGAUACUUCAUGGUAUACACUCAUUUGUAGCCAACAACAUGUUGUCUCAUAGGAAGAACAUGUUAGCAUCAGGUUUAAUUUUUCUCCAAAGCCAGGAGCUCCUUCGCCAUAGCUUGAUGCCACUCAAGAGUGUUUGGAGCUUCAUUCAUGGUGCGAGAGAUAGAAACAGUGUCAAGGGGCAUGAGGAAGGCAUGAUAGGAGGGAGAAAGGCGAUGGUAGGAGAGGUAAUGUGCCAAGGGUUCAAGAAUUUGAGGAGGCUGGGGGGGAGUAGGGUGAGAAAUUGGGACAGAAGAGAUGGGUGGACUCAAGUCAGAAGUGGUGGUGGACUCAGGCCAAAGACUGUAGGUAGAUGAGGGGCACAUUGGAUGUAGACUUGGCGACCAAAUUGAUGCAGUGGUUAGGGGUGGACAGAAGGUUCAGAGGCUGGGAGGGUUUCAGAGGGAGCAGAAGGUUUAGAUGUUUUGUUGUAUCAUGUUUUUCUGUAUUUUUUGAUAUUUUUGCGUACCUUGAAAUUGCAAUAUAACUUCAUGUACAACUUCAUUCAGACAUCUUGGAUAAAAUCUUAACCCAUAGGUACCUAUCAAUUUUAUGAGCUAUUGCAUAAUAUUUUGUUUUUGCACUUGAUGAGACUCACAAAAUUUGCAUCCCUUCUCAAAGAGUAUAUCUCCUAUGAUCUUGAGUACCACAAUCCAUUACUUAGAACUAACUGAUUUAGUAUAUCCUAACAUUCUUCCUAUACCUUACCCAACAAGACCUUUUAUACGAUUUAGAAGUAGUCAAUCCCUUUUCUUUGCAAGAAUAUGAAUGAAGUUUAUUUUGUGACCCCAGUGUAGAAUCCUAAUUCACCCUCCUUUUGAUUCCUAUAAUGACUUGGGACCAACAUUAGGUAGAUGAUCAUCAAGCUGAAUGGCUCCUUUCUCAGUGAUAAUAUCUUUUUUUCUUUUCAUAGUAAUCGCCUUUUUGAACUUCAGUUGAAGGAAUAUGUAGAAAACAACGCAGAGGUACUUAUCAUAUGGUUUGCAGCUUUAAAGUUGAUAACCAAAAGUAAUGAUAAGAUGCAUAGUAGCAUUGAGGGCAGAUUUGUUUAAGAGUAGUUUGAAGUAAAGGUUUGGUGGCGCCCUUAUAAAAUUUUAUUCAAGUUUGAGUCAAUCUUCUGUUUGAAGCUUGGUCAGGAUGUUAAUGAAUGAAAUAAGUUAAGUAUUCAUUGGCCGAUGCAUACAGAAAAUAACUUAUGGUGUAUGCAAAAUUUGAGGUAGAACUUGAUUUUUGAUCCCUGACAUUAAAGUAUCAGCACUUGUGUAAAGUGUCAACUGAUGAAAACUAAGUGUGAACAUUUGAGGCAAAAUAGAAACUGGAAAAAAGCAGGGAGAAGCGACCCCUAUACCUUAGGUGUUGACACUUGGAUAUGUGUAUGAUAUAAAGCUCAAAAUUGUCAGCAUGUAUAUAAAGAAGAAAAAUAAGUUUCGAAGGUGAACCCAUCAUGAGGGGGGAUCGUCACACAAUUAUAGCUUGUUGACUAACAGAUUGACUGCUAGCUUUUCCGAGUUGAAUUUCCAAUUUUUACAUCACCAUGCUUUGGCUUGAUUUAGUUUACCUAUCCCUAGUUUAUUACAAUAAUGACCGUAAACUUAGGAAAUAUAUGCUAAAUCUUUAAAAGAAGGGCUCUUGGGUUAUUGUUUACAACACUAUUAUGUUUUUGAAGUUCAUGGGCUUCCUAAUGAUUGUCAACUUUAUGCAACUUUAUGUUCUCUUUUCCUUGGCUUUAUUUUUUUCCUUUCUUUCUAAUGUUUGCAAUACGUUCCUUUUUUGGUUAAAGCACCUUUUUUCUGACCGUGUGUUGCCAUAUAUCAUGUAUUUCAGUUCUGAGCUGAUGAACAAGGGAUACCUUGUUUUCCCAGAAAAUCUCUUUUUGAAGCUUCCACGCCUCACAUCUGUCUUCAUAGAAUCAUGCUAACAGAGAUAAUUAACUCGGAUGUCAUAAUGCUGUUUUUGGGAAGCCACUCGUCAUCUUUCAAUUCUUCUUACUUUGGAUAUACAUCUUCCUAUUUAUGUAUCCUUAUUUACCAUAUAUAUUGCUGAAAUGAUAGUCUGCCAUAACCCAGUGCCAACAGACGACAUGCUAUUAAUAACACUGGAGUUUCUAGAUUAUCAAGGUUCCCAUCACACCAUUUAACGUGAAACUCUGUCCUCAAGAACAGUCAGCGCUUGUUGAUGAAAGAAGAGGGUGAUACAACCUGUGGCAGGCCAUUGGAAAACCUUUAGCCUAAUCGGCCUAGAAGACAGGGCAAAUAGGACCAGCCUUGACCCCUUCGCCCUGAGUGAGUAAGUUGCUAAAUUGUGGGCAGUACACAAUUAGCAGUGGAAAGAAAUAAGAUAAAGUUGUCCCCUUGGAUGGAAACUCUGGCAGUCAAAAACUAAAAAAGAGAGAGGAAGGCAUGAUGGCCCUCUUGAUCUUGAUGCUACAAUGUGUCUCAAACUCCCUCCUUGAUAUGUUUUUGUUACACUUCUUCCUUAAUCCAUCAAGGCAAAUCUUCUGAUUCCAUUUUCAUUGAAAAGGAAAAGAUGAAGACUCUAAAUGAGAGGUAACGAGCGAAAAAAUAGCAUGCCUCUUGCUUAUAUGUUGGGUCGCAUCUAGCUUCUAUUACUAGUUUUAAUUCCUAUACUGUGGCGGCUUAUAACUUGCACCUCAUUCCGUAUCCCACGAUCACCUAGUAUGUCAAAAGCCUAGGAACUUCUUAAAAUUUCUUGAAACACGGACCCAAUCUUUUUAUCAAUAGGGUAAUCCUUUAACAGAUGGUAUACACUUACACUGUCUUACAAUGGGCAUUAUGGGUAAAACCUAAUAAGUAAUUAAAGGAAAAGAAAAAGACAAAUGCCUAGUUAUGAAUAGUAUUGCACAAUUUCAUGCAGGUAUAAAAUUUUUAUUUCUUAAUAAAAUUAAAAAUUUUAAACAUUAAAGGUUAAGCAUGAUAAGUGUAGUGCCAUGAUGAUGCUAAUAAUUUUGAGUCUUCACAAGAGUUGCAUUUUUUAAUUGAUAUCUUUUAUAAUGGCAAUUCCAUGAAUAGAAACUAUUAAAUAAAAUCUGCAUGAGAUUAAAUUUUUAUCACCCCCCCUUAUUUCGGUUUCAAGGAUAUACUUUUGGUGACGGCCUAACCAUUAACGUGGAAUAUAUAAUGUUGUAUAGCAGUCAGAUUCAAAUUAUAAGUGCAGCUUUAUGGAUGAAUAUUUGUUAACUUAAUACUCAAAGUUCACAUCCUUACUUUAGAUUUAUCCACCUUUUCCCAGGUUUCGCAACUGUGCGUCAUGGAUGUUACUGGAAACAGGAUUCCUCUAAAUUCUUAAGAUGGCACUGGUAUCAAAACGGAUCAAUACAUUUAGCUACAAUCGAAUCAUAACAAGCAUAAUGGAAAAUUCGAAACUGAGGGCAGGAAUUGUGGCCGACUCAAAAUUGAAAUUAAAAACGAAGCUGAACUGAAAGCAAUGGAAAAAUAAGUCUAGCAUAUGACUGACAGUAUUUGCAUGGUUACCAGGAAUUAAGAUGACACUGCUUGUAGCGGAAAAAAAUAUAACUCAUUUGAAGUAGUGUUCAUUUGCCUCAGGAAUCUGAUGGUGGUAAUAAUUUACAUUGUUGUAUUGUGGUGUAUUUCAUAUUUGUGUUUGUAUUUAUAAAACCAUUGAUUUUAUAAAGAUUUCCAUGUAGGUUUUGUGUGUGGAUUGUAUUCUUGGUUGCUGAUCCAUUGUAAAGAUUAUUGUAUGUUUUUCUUUGGAUUUUUGUUUUGCAUGAGUUCCCUAGAUGCGAAUUCUUGUAUUAAUGACUCACAAAGAGAUUUAGUGGGUUUGAUGUCCUUGGACAAAAUUUGAGGUAGCAUUUCCUAGUUUCUUUCUGUUGAUUCUGGCUUAUACUUGCCUUUUAUGUUUAUUAACUGUUAUGCUGUGAAUUAUAAAGUUUUAAAUAUUGUAUUUCAACUCAUGUCAUAGUUAAACAACUCCUUGGCAGGUUGUCCAGUUGUGGGUGUGGGCUUUUCCGGCUCUUUAGCUAGUGUAGGUCCAAAACGUGGAGGGCACAGGUAUUGAUUUUCUGUCUGUUUAUUCGUUAGCAUAAUAGAGAAACUCCAGAUCAACUUGCUUGCACGUAAUAGUUCCGUUUGUGCACACUUCUUCACAUUCAGUUUCAAAUAACAUAUUUUACGAACUAAUUUUAAGAAUUCAUCUAGAAACAUCACGAACAUCAUGAACUAUUAUAUGCUAGUUCUACAUUUCUUUUGGUGAUUGAUUACCAAACUCUUUUUUCAAUGAUGAGCUUAUAAAGCUUGUGUAUCGAUGUCAUUAUGUUGUCAUUUUAAUAAGCAGUGAUCUUACUGCCCAUUUGGGGUAGAUAAGUAACUUGCAUCUACGAACUGUUCGUAUUGGAAGUGGAAAAUUGCGAAAACUAAUGUGUACAUGAAGGUGGUUUCAAAACUUUCUAAAGUGCCAAUUGGAGAAAAAUGUUUUUCGAUUUACGGUGGAAAGGCAUUGACUUUACGCCUUGAGUAUGCCUGAUAUGAAUUUUAUAUUUAUUUCCUAGAUGCUUUUCGCUGAUUGUCACUUAACAUUACAAGGUUUAUUUUAUGAAAUAUGCCAACAUUUUUCAUAUGCGGUCAGGAUGAGCGGGAGCUUGUUCCCUGAAUUUGUGUCUAUUUAUCGUUAAGUAGCUCUACUGCAAUCGGCCAAAAGCUGCCAACCUUCUACAUUUUGUGCAUCUUACUUCUAGAAAAAUUUUGGAGACCUGUGUAGCUAAGUGAUUUGUUCUUGUUUGGAAUGUCUACUCUUUGUCAGGGAUGGCAGGGACAGAAAUGGAUUUGUGGACUUUUCCAUACAUCAUAGUAAUAUCUAUCGAAAAAUAGUGAGAUUUUCUAUGGAUAUGUGAUGUUUUAUUGGACUAUAAAGGUCCUUGACGGAUGAAAUGAGGAUUCAUCACAGUCAACUUCUAUCGUUCUAAAUUACUCAAUUUGGUAGAAUGUGCCCUUGUGAUUACUUUAAUGGUGAUGUCCAUUUGAUGCUGUGCUCCCAAUCCUAUUCUUUAUUUUAGGACCUGAAUUCUCUUUUCUGCUUCAUCAUAGAGUAGAUUUCCGAAUUCAUGCUUAUAUCUUUGUUUUCGGAUUAUUUUCUAGUUUUUUCGAUUCAAUCUCGUCUACGUAAUUACAUUACAUGGAAUAUUUAGUGUUUUAGUAUCUGCUGCUUAAAAAAUAGGAUUACAUGAAUUUACUUUCCACUUCAUUGUCAGGACCAGAAAACAUCCGGUCAAACACGACCGUCUACUUUUCUUUUAUCCAUGAAUUCGAGUUAUUACAUUCUGUUUGCAGGUUUUUCUUAUCAACAAGGACAUCCGGUCGUCUGUGGGCAUCAAAUGUUACCUUAUGUAAGGUACUUAAUUCGUCAUCCAAACUGUCUUUCACUUUCUUUUCCUGGAAACCUUGCAAAGUUUCUGAUAUUGAUUAAUUCAUAUAGGGUCUGCGAAGUCGCGAAGAAGAAGACACGAUUUCUAGCAAAUUUUUACUGAAGGUACAAGUUACUCAAACGUACCUAUUAUUUUUUGGUAUUUAAAAAUAUUUAUUUAAAUAAAUUUCCUACCUGCCUAUUUUUUGAUCUUUGCAAGAAUUUGUAAUACCACAAGUGUUCUAAAAUUUACUCAUUUUUUGCAUUAUCACUUUUCUGACUUUUCGUGAUUUUGGAUUUGGAAAAUAAGCUUGUAAGCCAACGGGUGGUUUAUUGUUUAUAUCAUCUAAAGAGGGUAUUUUAGUUUUAUUAUCAAAUUGGUCUGGUUGUGACUUUUACCAUUUAAUUAUUUAGUUCUGAUGGCUCUAAUUUUUACCCAGAAUAGAUAAAGUUCCUGAGCUGGUGCAUACAACUGUAGUUCCUCUUCAAGUUUCUCUUGCUUGUUCAAUGCUUCAUUCACAGCUAUCAACUUCGCUAUUCCUGGAGAGAGAAGUGGGGAUGGUUUGGGUGAUUUUGUAGCUGAAUCCCAACCCAACAUUAUUACGCCGAAAAGUCCGACCUUUAACAAAAAUAAGAAUUGAAGGUAGACUUGAACCAGAAAAUUAAUGUGUCCGAACUCAACCCAUGCUACAGGCAUAUGCAGCAUUUCUUGCACUACAUUCUCAAUCCCUAUAGAAUUCUUUAGAUUUAUCUUAUUAUUACAAUUAGGUAGUCAUAUUUGCCAAACAAAGAUAAAGCAUUCCAAUUUGAGGGAAGAGAUUUUGUACACAGAAUACUGACACUCUAUGCUUCUACUUCCUACUCACUCUUGUCCUUCCAGUCUGAGGUGAUUCUACUGUGUGUUUGUCAAUUUUUCUUCUCUUUGAAGGUCCGUGCCAUGGUUUAAAAGUUAACCACUUUUCAAUCGACAGUUCAACUGAUGGCUUUAGUUAGUGUUGAUUUCUCUGGGAAGCCUCUGGAGGCACGAUAAUGAACACUAUGGAACAUUUUCAUAUUCGUUUACAAAACAUUUCAUGUUCAAAUCAUACAUUGUAAAGUUUUAAGUCAUGCCCAAAGUUGCAUCUUUAACAUGAUAUUUUAGAUAUUCGUUCUCUUUUCUUGUUUUCAAAAAAUUGGAUAUGCUUUUUUUUUCCUUUUGAUUAUUUCAUAGCAUUUCAAAUGGUUUCUCUCCUCUUGUUUAACAUAAUAUUGGUUUGAACUUUCUUCCUCGUGUUCUUAUCAUAAUACUUCUUUUUGUGCCUAUUAUGUCUAAGGCUAUUGCAGAUGCAUGCCAAGUUUGUGGUACUUCUGACAAGGAACUAACUGAAACGGAAGAUUCACAUGAAUUGGAAAAGCUGUUUGACGAGGAUCAAGAGUUACAGCAGCUUAUAAAUGGGGAAAUAUGCAUGAAAGCAUAUUCAUUUGGUAAUUAUUCAAAGAUUCCAAUGAGUUAUGUCUACAUGAGAAUAGUUAAGUUUUCCGUUUUGGAGAUAGAUCUUCUUAUUCAGCCGCAUGAACUUGCAGAUACUUGUACGUACAGUUCAGAUCAAAAGAUUAUACUUUCAGGAUCAUUUAAUCCAUUACAUGAUGGACACCUAAAGCUUUUGGAAGUGGCAUCAAGGUUAACAAUUAAUUUUAUGCUUCCGCAGAUAGAUGCAUGCAAGUUAAUUGGAGAUCCUUAGUAUUUGUCUCGAUCAUUUCAGUUGUAAAGAAAAAAGCUGGAUCUUUUUCAGGAUUUUCUUCAAAGACAAAAUUCAUCUGCCAUAUGGAUGAGACUCUAUCUUGAUGAUGACCAAUUAUUAUUGUGACAUCAAAAAAUUUAGCUACAUAUAGACACCUGUUUAUGAUUCUAUCAUGAAGUCAUCUCUUCUUACCUAAUUAACAAUGUGAGAACAUGCAUGAUUAUGAAAUAAUAAACUUGUUAUAUCUCUUUUAUAUCAGCUUUUUAACAUUCUAACUAUUUUUUAUUUUCUGUAGUAUGCUUUGCAAUAGGGUUCCGUGCUUUGAGAUAUCAGUUGUAAAUGCGGAUAAACCACCAUUAUCAAUAGUUCAGAUCAAAGAGCGAGUGAAUCAAUUUAAGAAAGCUGGUGUGUUCUUUUCUUUCGCUACUUGUUUAGUGCAACAUAUUUAGUUUUAAUUUGAAUGAUUGAUAAUGAUUAAUAUUUUAUAGGAUUUUUUACAUUCUGUGUAUUUUGUUUAGAUUUACGUCUAGUAUUCUCACUUCUAUUUAAAAGACCAGAUCCAAUGUGAGAUACAUUCUUCAUAAGAAAUGUUGGCCCAGGCAUGAUCAUUGGCACUAAAACUAAUAUAAUGAAACGAAAAACAUAAAUCGAUAUGAUAAUUUAAAAAUACUAAAUAUUAAAUAUUAUGGAAAAAUUAAGACUGUGUAACAGAAACCAAUAAAGGUUUAAAAUUCAGGUCAAUGAUUGUUCUCUUAUAACUCAUAACCAUGAAAUGUAAGAGCAGGCGAUCGUCAAAAAAGUAUCGGUAACGCAUGAGCAGACAACCUUGCUUAAAUACCAUGUAGAAACGUCAGCUGUCAGAUUACAAACUUCACCAUUUAUGAAUUAAAUAGUAAAUAAUAGGGAAUAAUUAAUACUGUGUUGCCAUAAACCAUCAAAGUUUAAAAUCCAGGUCAAUGAUUGUUCUUUUAUAACUCAUAACCCCGAAAAUGUAAAAGAAGACAAUUGAUGAAAGUAGUAUCAGUAAAGCGUUGGCAAACUAUCUUGAUUAAUAACAUGUACAAAAGUCAGCUGUCAGGUUACAAACUUCAUUAUUCAUGAACUAUUUCUGUUUUCGCAUAGUACAUUCUUUAAGAUGCUCAAUGAUUGGAUUACUGACUUCCCAUGUUUCGCAUUGAUAAUAUUAUAUAAAUUGCAUGCCAAGUUUUAGAUUACUCAUUUUAUCACAUCUACAUUUCUAUUUUUUUCACAAAUAUGUUCAAGGCAUUGCCUAAAUGAUGCAUUGCCCCAGGCUUCUAGGUUCACCAGUUGAGAACCUGCUUGGGUGCUCGCCAAAGUUGCCUUACCUCUGUUCUCCAACUCAUAUUGUUGUCAUCGUAGCUGCAAAAAACUAUUUGCUCUGUUCCAUGGCACAUGCUGUUUAACUGCAGUUGAAUGGACGCCAUGUAAGCACAAUCUAGUGGUGAUUUAAACCGUUAAGAUGAUAUUUAUUGCAUAUAUUAAUAUUUUAUAAAAAAUUAUUUAUUAAAUGGAGUUAAUUGUUUUAAAAAAUCGUGUUUACUUAUUGUUCUGAUUUAUAUUAGUUACUUUAAUAUUUAGAUAUUCCACGCGUAAAAUGUUGCUUUAUUUUAAGAAAACGGAAUCUAUUCAUAUAGCUUAAAGGAACAAUGACUGUCACUCAUUCAAAUUAUUUAUUUUAGAUUUUUGUAUGGUAUCAAUGCUCUUUGACACCCAAAGAUAUUCUUUUAUAGCCAAAGAGAAAAUACCUAGUUCACUGACUGUUAUUGAUUGUUUCUUCUACAGUUUAACAAUAAAUUAGAGGUUCUUGCCUUCUUGGGUUCAUAAGUUUACUGUCUGGAGAAUUCAACAGUUUGAUUUGUAUAUGUGUAAACUAUGCGAUAAUUAAGUAAUUUUCGUAGUACCAUGGUGAUUCGUUUCUCUACGCAGGGAAGACAGUGAUUCUAACAAAUCAGCCGUAUUUCUACAAAAAGGCUGAGUUGUUUCCUGGUAGUGCAUUUGUUAUUGGUGCAGACACUGCCGCACGGCUUGUUCAUGUAAGAAAUCUGAACUUGCUGUGUGUGUUGUUCAGACAAUACCACUAGAGGCAUGUAUGCUCGUUUUUGUCUAUACUUCAUGGGAUUGAUAAUUAUCAUUUUGCUAUAUAUAUAAUGAUUUUCAACCCUUCAUGUUUUUCUUUCUUUGUUAGACCCAUUAUAUAUAAAAUUGUUUUGCACUAUAUGAUGAGAUGGAUUGCUUUAAAAAUAUACUACUAUGCUCGUGAGUAUGGGUAGAAAUAACAGUACGAUGUUAGCUAUUGUCAUACAUUUACUCUUGUUGUUGAUAUGAAAAUGGUUAAAACCCUUUUUGCACUUGUUGUCUCUAAAUUAUAGCCCAGAUUUCAAAUGGGUACAAAAAAUACCUUUUUAAUGGUGACGUGAACGAGGAAGUGUUCAUGACGUGGCAAUUGGGAAUAACAUGGGACUCAUCACACUUUAUUUCAAGCAUGAUUGGUAUGCUCGGACAGAGUCAUUGAUUUGAGGACUACCGUUCUACAUUCAUAAUUUUAAUGCAGCCAACAUGAUCCGUCUCUCUUUUGAGAAUGGUCGUCUAGUGGUCUUGCUCUUCUUAUUACAUAAGUUAAUGGUACGUUGAUUGCUGUGGAUGAUUCCACGAAACGGGGCAUGUUAAAAAAAUUUUCAAUAGUCAUUUGGGAUAAAAGAUGUGGGCUAUUCAUUCACUUCUUGGGUGAAGCGCAUAGAUCUCCAGUUCUAUUCUUUUUGAAUCACCGCAUUCUUGCAAAAUUUGAUUUAUGUCGCUUGAUCAGAGAACAUCACUGAACUUAAUUCACGUAUGGAAACUAAUCUUUGGUUGAAAACUUAAGAUCACUUUCUAACUUUUGUAACCUUUCUUAUCUUUUAAUUUUACCGGACCUGGUAUUUCCUAUACCAUAAAUAGAACUUUUAAUUCUUUGUCAUUUACACUUUACUGGUAUUCGUAAGAUUGCUGACUACCUGAAAGGCACUCCUAAUCAUGGAUUGCUCUUCCCAAGUGGGUCUCUUCAAUCCUUGAGUCUAUAGGCUGUUGCAGAUUUGUGUUGCUAUCCUAAUCUGAGAUGGUUUUCAUUGAUUGGUGUGGCUGAUAUGACAUUAUCUGAUUUCAUGGAAGUUCAAGAAACAAGAUUGGGUUACCAAGCUGUUAAUUGAAAUUGAAUGUAGAGCCGUGUACGAAACACGCUUUGAGGUCAUCUGAUUGUGUGGUUUACUUCUAAAAUUAGGUUUCCUUCUUAAUUGUGCUGACUUCUUUACAUGCUAACAACACAAGUGCUAUUCAGAUUGCUGAAAAUACUUGUUUCACAAGUGCACAAAGCACGUUGAAAUCAAUUAGUAUUACAUUUCGUGGCACUUUGAAAGACUCAUCUCUACUAUAUUUACCUUAUAAGGAGCAGAUUGUGUCUCUCUUCACAGAGGCUUCGAUAUCUGAUCUGCAUCAACCUCUUUCCACCGAAACAGAUGUCUUCUCGAAGCCUUUGAUAUUUGAUCAGCAUCAAUCACUCUCCUCCGAAUUCCUUCUAAAAGAGUCAGCAUCAGUUUUAGGGAGAGUUGGAAUGCGCUCCAUGUAAUAUGGGAUAGAAGGAGAUUUAAUGCUGUUAAUAAUGAGCAACUGGUUGGUUUCUGUUUUUAACCUUUACCCUAUUUAGGGAGAGUUGUGUCCACCUGUAUUCUAUUAUUGCUUGCUUCUGUAAAAUAUUAGUUCACUCUUUUGUUUAUACAAAGUCCAUAAAGAGGCUCUGAGAUCUCAUAUUGGGGCAGGACGCUAUGAUCCAUUGAUCUUAUCAUGUUUCUCUUUGUCCACUGUCAUCUUCUCACCAUUGGCACCGACUCUUUCCUCACAUUGCUAGCUGUAGUCCUGUUCAGAGCUAAGAUGGUAAUUACAAGGUCACCACAUCAGCUCAUCUUCCAUUAAGUUUGUACCUGCUUUUGAAUGUGGCAUAUUAUCCUGUUUACAUAAUAUAGAGCUGUUCUGGCUCUAUUUAGUCUCUUCAGUUAUUGAGUGAAUGCUGAGAGAAGCUGGAGCUGAGUGUCUGCUUUUCUAUUUACCGUGCAAGUCCCGUCACCGAAAUUGGGUUGACCAGAAUAUCGUUGCCUCUUUUCCUCUUCUGGUGGACUCAUCCCUCCUGUCUCAACGUUCUUCUUUUUCCAUUCAUUACAUGUGCCCUUGUGUGGUGCUGUGGGUGAGCAGAAAGCCUGACCAUAACCCAAUCCUGAGAUUGGGCUCUGCAAUCUGGCUUUCUGAUGCCAUGGGCAUUGUUUCUAUCUAUCUUUGGUCCCAAUACCACACCUUGGUUGAGAGGAGACUCAAUUUGUAGCUAGAAUACAUAUUCUCGGAGAAAUUAGACCAUUCCCUGAUGGUAGAGGUCAUGGAUGAUGCCUUGGUCAGCAGAGGAGAAGACAACAGAAAACAGAGACAGGCAUAGGUGGACAUCAAUCCACCGUGUAGGGAUAUUUUUGCCUCCCAAAUCCUGCCAUGCCCUCUUUAAUGUAACCAGUCAGGCACCUAGCUUAAUCACUACUAGGUUCUAUUUUCAGUUUUUUCUGGUUAUUUUAACUGCUCGAUUUAUUCUUUUUUUGCAUCAGUUAUGAAUGUGGAUACUACGUAAUUCGCUGCUUAUUCCUCUAACUAGAUGAGGUUGAGGGUUGUAGCAUGAAAUAAUUUUCUGUAGAUCUAUCAGUCCUUAUGUAAAUUUCUGUCCCUAUUCUCAUUCUUUGUGGAAAGCUCUCUCUUUUAGAUUCUGGGGUGAAAUCUUUUAUGAACUCAUACCUGUCUUUUUCAGCCAAAAUAUUAUGGAGAAAGCUAUCACCAGAUGAUUGAAAUCCUGAAUGGCUGCAAAAGAUUAUCUUGUACAUUCCUCGUUGGUGGUCGGAAAAUUGAUGGCGAUUUUAAGGUGUGUCAUAAUGAAGUGACCUCAAAUAUUGUCAUUUGACAUCACAGAAAAGACCUUAACAAAAUGUUUAUUUAUCAGGUUCUUGACGAUUUAACUAUUCCAGACGAACUGGUGGACAUGUUCAUCUCGAUUCCCGAGGACAGGUUCCGAUUGGAUAUAUCAUCGACAGAGAUAAGAAAAAACCAUGGAAUUUGAGUCCAUUCCUACUUCUAGCUUUGGAAUGUGCCCUUUUGAUGCGUUAUUGUAUGCAUCAUUUUAUCCUUGUUUCUCCAAUAUUUCUGCUUUCAUCUGUUGAAUGGAGUAUCCCCCGCUAGGCCUUGGUACACUUUCAUUAGCUUCACUUGAAAAUCACUAGUUGUCUUAUGGGAAGUUACACCUGUGUGACCUAAGUGCGUCACCACCUGCAGCCAUUGAACGAAGUUUAGUACACCAUAUUUUGCAUUACUUACCUUACUGUGCGAUCUUAUCUUGUGAAAAAUUCCAUCUAUUUGACAUGUACAUAUAUCAUACCAGUAAUAUUGAAAUCUUAUGAGGAAAAUAGUUAACUGUGUUCUGUAAAUAGGGAUCACCUACAGGUUUUCAUUUAUUCUUCCCAGCAAGUUAAAAUACCAUAACAUAUUGUACUGAGGAUUCCAUCUUUGAUUGACUACAUCACAGGUACUGUGUUUAUACGUCCAAAUAGUAGAUUCAUCAAUAUAUAAGUUUGUCCUAUUUUCCUAUUUGGUUUAUUCUUGAUUCCUAACUUGGCAGUUUAACGCAAAUAUGGAAUCCUAGUUAAUUUCACCACACUUUCUCUCUUUUAGUAGUGUGGUAUGGCACUUCACUAUAAGCCUACUUACAAUAUCUUUUUUGCACCUUUCAAUCUUCACUGGGUUAAUUAGUCUCUACGAAGAAGUUUUCUGGCACCAUUAAUUUCCUGUAAUCUGCUCAAUUUUUGUUUGAGUAGAGUUUACAUGUUAUAAUAGCCUUCUUUAGUUCAUACUCUAGAACUCUUUGUCGUAUUGUGGGCAAUCUUCAUUAUCCUCAAGUGUGAUAAUGAAUGGGCUAUUACAUCUAGUGCCCAAUAACUCAAGUUCAUCCAUCUUUCUCAUUGCCUACCAGUGUACAACCAUGCUCUCGUGAAUCUUACGGUACUUGGAACUAGGGAAUCUUCAGAAACAUCCUACUGUUGUUGUGUGCCUUCUCAAGAAGACUCUCUUUAGAGCUGCACGGUAAGCUAUCAGUUAAAUAAUAUAGUGGGAACUUAUUCCAUGCUUCUUCUUUAUGGUUGCCUCAUCCUCAAUGGUGCCUUCUUGUAGCUUCAUCCUCCGAUAUGGUCUCCUUGCAAUGGACCACACUAUAUCUAUGAUUUGGGUUUUCAAUUGGUCCAUCAUGAAAUUUUAUCAUGGAAAGGACUUUGAAAUGUAAAUCUUGUUAAUGAGCCAUGCUAAUAUGUGAGAAAGUAAAGCUACACCCAGUGAAAAACCAAUACUAAUACCAGAUGAAGACUUAAAAGUUGUUCAAUCACCGUAAAAUUACAUUGAGAAAAUUCUAUUAUGUUUCAGCCCAAUAUAAGCAAUGUGAGGCAAACUGAUUAGUACCUCAAAAUUUGAGGCUCGUGGCCUGAAGGGAUAAAAAUAUUGACUACAAACAUCUGAAGGCCCAACAUGACUUGAAGCCUAAUAUCCAAGCCAAUGGCCCAAAAUUAUGUAAAUAUUUUUGCCUAAAACUUGCAACCUAGGUGGCUUGAAAGAGUAAAAAAGUGGACUACAAGCAUCUAAAGACUCAAAAUGACUUUCAGUCCAAUAUCUAAAUAGUUAGGUCCGAAAUGUGUAAGAAAUUAUAGAAUUGUAAUUGUUCUAUUUUUCAGUAGCUUUGAUAUGAAGGUUUAAAAUUCAUCUAAUUUAUUGUGAUUGUUAUCAAGUCAAGAGGUGAUAAAUAGUAAUAUUGUCUUUCUCUUUGAGAUAUUUCUAUUUUCUUGUGCAAUCAAGCAAUCCAUAUUUAAAUAAGAAACAUUAGGUUGAUUCUUAUGGAUUCAAGAAUUGUGAAAAAUAAAUCCUCAUUGAUUGAGAAAUUUGGUACCUCAAGGAUUCAAGGCCUGAUUUCUUUACUUCUUCAACUUUCUCUAUGCCAAUUAGUUGUCUUUUAGAGAUGAUAAUUUGAAUUUCAAUAAAUAUAUUUUGAAAUUUAUUCAAAUGAAUUGAAAUUUAUCUAAUCUUUAAAUAGAGUUAAAACAUAGCUUAGAUAUCAAGUUCAAUCUUGCAUUUAAGGGGGAGGUAUUUAAAUUUUUAAUUGGAUAAAAGGUUUUAUUUUUUUCAUAUUUCUUGUAGCCCUAACUUAUUUUUAAAGUUGACAUGAGUGUAAAUUUUAUUUGUGUAUCCUUUAAAUUUUAUUUAUAUUUUAGUUUUUGGUAAUAAGGCAUUGACAUUUUGAACUGAAUUUGUUCAUGAUGUGUGAAAGGUUGAUUCUUUAUAUUCUAGGUUUUCUUUGGAAACUAAGUUGUUAGCCAUUCUUUUUAGUCAAUCACUAAUAUUAUAUAUAUGAAGUUUGUCAACAUUAAGAGAAAGUAAUGUAGUUAAGAGUUUUUAUAAAAUGUAUGGAUCAUUUCAAGCAAACAUCAAUACAAAUAAAGUAAGCAUGUCUUCAUAAAAUUUCAGGGCAGUAUUAAACAUUUUUUAUUGUAGAAAAUUAUCUUAAACCCUAGAGAGAUGAAUCAGAACAUUCUAAUAAAACCAUCCAUAGUAUGUUCAUGUGUACUUGUUUUUCAAAUUUUUUUACUUAUAAUUAGGCAUCUUGAAGUUUGGUAUGUACCUGUAGCUUUUUACAUCAUAUCUAAAAGUUGGUAGAGAGGAGAAUGAAUUUCAAAAAUAGCAAAGAACAAGAAAAUUUUCUACUAUGUUGUGGAGAAAAUCAAGAGAAUCCUAAUUAUAGAUAAAAUAUUGUGAAAAAAAUCAAAAUGAAAUCAAGAAAAAUAACAAUGUCUAUGAGAGAAGUUACAAAUGAUGAUGGGAAAUCUAUUACAUAAUUCUUCUCUCUUCUCCAAUAAGAUUCUUAACAUUGAAAAAGGAUCUUAGAGUGUGCCAGGAAGGCUUCUUAACGUCUUCUUUUUUCUUCCCAUCGGAGUUUUUUCACAAAGACUCGCCAUAGUAAGGGGGAAGGGUGGAACAAGCAAAGCACACUUGUAGAGCGCAGUACAGCGGAGAUGUCCAAUACUAUUUGGUAGCCUUUUCUAUUAUUUAAUUUAGUAUAAUGUCUACUAUUUCUUCUCUUCCUUUGUCAACCACUUAUUUACUAAGGGGUUGUGCCAAGUGUUAAUCCUAUCUAAAUAGCACAUCAUGGG
rnacentral:lncRNA from 1 species